rnacentral:lncRNA from 1 species
GCCACCAUACCUACCUAUUAUGGCAUUUCCAUAGCCAUUCCGAGAUAUAUUGCCAUGCAACUUUCCGCCGUUCCGUUCAUAUGACACGCAUUACUUUUUUCAUAUUGCUUUUUGCAUGAUCAUGUAGUUGACAUCGUAUUUGUGGCAAGGCCACCUUCAUAAUUUUCAUACAUGUCGCUCUUGAUUCAUUGCAUAUCCCGGUACACCGACGGAGGCAUUCAUAUAGAGUCAUAUCUUGUUCUAGCUUUGAGUUGUAAUUUUUGAAUUGUAAAUCCAUAAAAGUGUGAUGAUCUUCAUUAUUAGAUCAUUGUCCUAGUGAGGAAAGGAUGAUGAAGACUAUGAUUCCCCCACAAGUCGGGAUGAGACUUCGGACUUUACAGAAAAAAUAUAAAGAAAAAAAAAAGAGAAAGGCCAAAAAGAAAAAAGGGGAAAGGCCAAAGAAAAAAGAAAAAAAAAGAAAAAAAGAAAAAGAAAAAAAGAAUAGAAAAAAAUAAGAGAAAAAGAGAGAAGGAACAAUGCUAUUAUCUCUUUUUCCACACUUGUGCUUCAAAGUAGCACCAUGAUCUUGAUGAUAGAGAGUCUCAUAUGCUGUCACUUUCAUAUACUAGUGGGAAUUUUUCAUUAUAGAACUUGGCUUGUAUAUUCCAAUGAUGGGCUUCCUCAAAAUGCCCUAGGUCUUCGUGAGCAAGCGAGUUGGAUGCACACCCACUUAAUUUCUUUUGUUGAGAUUUCAUAUAUUUAUAGCUCUAGUGCAUCCGUUGCAUGGCAAUCCCUACUCACUCACAUUCAUAUCUAUUAAUGGGCAUCUCCAUAGCCCGUUGAUACGCCUAGUUGAUGUGAGACUAUCUUCUCCUUUUUUUUCUCCACAACCACCAUUCUAUUCCACAUAUAGUGCUAUGUCCAUGGCUCACGCUCAUGUAUUGCAUGAAAGUUGAAAGAGUUUGAGAUUAUUAAAGUAUUAAACAAUUGCUUGGCUUGUCAUCGGGGUUGUGCAUGAUUAAAUACUUUGUGUGAUGAAGAUAGAGCAACAACCAGACUAUAUGAUUUUGUAGGGAUAACUUUCUUUGGCCAUGUUAUUUUGAGAAGACAUGAUUACUUUGAUUAGUAUGCUUGAAGUAUCACCAUUUUCAUGUUAAUAUGAACUUUUAUUUUGUAUCAUUUGGAUCUGAACAUUCAUGCCACAAUAGAGAAAAUUACAUUGAGAAUUAUGCUAGGUAGCAUUUGAUACGAAAAAUUUCUUUUUUAUCAAUUAUCCUACUCGAGGACGAGCAGGAAUUAUGCUUGGGGAUGCUUGAUACGUCUCCAACAUAUCUAUAAUUUUUGAUUGUUCCAUACUAUUAUAUUACCCUUUUGGAUGUUUAUGGGCUUUAUUUUACACAUUUAUAUCAUUUUUGGGACUAACCUACUAACUGGAGGCCCAGCCCGUAUUGCUGUUUUUUGUCUAUUUCAGUAUUUCGAAGAAAAGGAAUAUCAAACGGAGUCCAAACGGAGUGAAACCUUCAAGAGCGUGAUUUUUGGAACGAACGUGAUCCAGAGGACUUGGAGUGCAAGUCAAGAAGCAGCCGAGGCCUCCACGAGAUAGGAGGGCGCCCCCCUAUAGGGUGCGCCGCCUGUCUCGUGGGCCCCUCUGUUGUCCACCGACGUACUUCUUCCUCCUAUAUAAGCCUACGUACCCCGAAAACAUCUAGGGAGCCACCGAAACACAAUUUCCACCGCCGUAACCUUCUAUAUCCGCGAGAUCUCAACUUGGAGCCUUCGUCGGUGCUCCGCCGGAGGGGGAAUCGACCACAAAGGGCUUCUACAUCAACAUCCUUGCCCCUCCGAUGAGUUGUGAGUAGUUUACCACAGACCUACGGGUCCAUAGUUAUUAGCUAGAUGUCUUCUUCUCUCUUUUUGGAUCUCAAUACAAUGUUCUUCCCCUCUCUUGUGGAGAUCUAUUUGAUGUAAACUCUUUUGCGGUGUGUUUGUCGAGAUCCGAUGAAUUGUGGGUUUAUGAUCAAGUUUAUUUAUGAAUAAUAUUUGAAUCUUCUCUGAAUUCUUUUAUGUAUGAUUGAGCUAUCUUUGCAAGUCUCUUCGAAUUAUUAGUUUGGUUUCGCCUACUAGAUUGAUCUUUCUUGCCAUGGGAGAAGUGCUUAGCUUUGGGUUCAAUCUUGCGGUGUCCUUACCCAGUGACAGAAAGGGUUGCAAGGCAUGUACUGUAUUGUUGCCAUCGAGGAUAAAAAGAUGGGGUUUAUAUCAUAUUGCUUGAGUUUAUCCCUCUACAUCAUGUCAUCCUGCUUAAGGCGUUACUCUGUUCUUAUGAACUUAAUAUUCUAGAUGCAGGCAGGAGUGGGUCGAUGUGUGGAGUAAUAGUAGUAGAUGCAGGCAGGAGUCGGUCUACUUGUUGCGGACGUGAUGCCUAUAUACACGAUCCUGCCUAGAUAAUCUCAUAAUUAUUCGCUUUUCUAUCAAUUGCUCGACAGUAAUUUGUUCACCCACCGUAAUACUUAUGCUAUCUUGAGAGAAGCCACUAGUGAAAACUAUGGCCCCCGGGUCUAUCUCUUAUCAUAUUUGCGUCCAAUCUACUUUUAUUUGCAUCUUUACUUUUUGCAUCUAUAUUAUAAAAUACCAAAAAUAUAUUUAUCUUAUCUUACUAUCUUUAUUAGAUCUCACUUUCGCAAGUGGCCGUGAAGGGAUUGACAACCCCUUUAUUGCGUUGGUUGCGAGUUCUUUGUUUGUUUGUGUAGGUGCGUGGGACUUUUGAGGAGCCUCCUACUGGAUUGAUACCUUGGUUCUCAAAAACUGAGGGAAAUACGUAUGCUACUAUUGUUGCAUCACCCUUUCCUCUUCAAGGAAAACCAACGCAAGCUCAAGACAUAGCAGGGGCGUCCUCCUCAAAGUGCUCACCAAGGUGGCAUACCGGAACCCCUGCGUCGACUUCACCAACGCAUUUGAGAGCUUACUAGAGGACACGGACCUCAAGGCGCUCGAAGAGCUUGUCGAGCCUAUCGCCAGCAGGGUUGAUGGAGUCAAAAGGUUGGAAGGCCAGCGCCGGGACUAGCUGCUUCACCUUCUCCUUGCCGCUGUGAACUCGGGCCCAAGAUGAUUUCAUCUUAAGUUAGAACCGCGACAUCCAUUGAUGUAAUAUAACUUGUUGUGUCUUGAAUUGAAUGCAUGAUAUCUUCUUGUUUGAUCCUUCUUUGUAUGGCAUACACCCUACGCUCAUUUGGAAAGGCUUCCGGUGCGCGCACCCUUGCCGCGAGCGGAUUGAGGAACAGAUCCUUAGCAUCCUACUGGGGGUGUCGCAGCCGCCAAGACACCUUGCUGCUCGUAGCGCAACCACUUGAUCUGCCGAGCGGACUCGAAACAGAUAAAGGGCGCUACCAAUUGUGGCUGGGUUCCUUUGCGUGCAGGUUUUCCAUACAAGACUAAAUCAUUCGAGGAAAAUAACCUUAUAUUUUAAAAAAGAAAAUCACUUAAGGUUUGGUGUGACUUAGCUUUUCGUUGUUGUGUUCUUUUCCGCAAGAUGCCACUUCGAACAGCGCCUGUUAGUGCCCAUACUCUCUAUCCCCCGGCAAACAUUUAUGCGAGGGAAUCUUCUAUCCUUUUGGGAAAAAGAAAGAAGAGGAAAUAGGAGCAUGGAACCUUGGCGGUUCGAUAGUACUUACUAGAAGGAAUAGUAGCACAAUAUCCUUGGUGUAUAUAUAUAUAUACAUGAACAUGGGAAUCAAUAAGAACUGUACAUACUAAAAGUUAUUCAACUGCGCACAGAGUCCGCGCCUAGCUCUGUACAUAGGGCUAUAUGCCUUGCCGGCAAGGCUGGUACAAAAGGGGGGUUGCCGGGGGUCCCGGCAAUGGCGCCUUAUGGGUAAAACUUGCAAAGAUGUUUGAUAUUCUAGGAGUUGCUCACUGGAAUACCAUCUUCGGUCCCUAGGAGGACUGCGCUGGGCCUGGUGACUCGUAUUGCCCAAUAAGGGCCUUUGGAUAGCAGCCCUCUACUCUUCUUGCUUCUCCGCAGCAGGAGGAAAGUCAAGGAGCAGUUGUGCUUGUGCCAACGCUUAUGCUCGAGUGGGUGGCAGCGAUAAGCGCGAGGAACAAGAGGUGCUCGGACUUCUAAUUAUGUUAGAAGGAGCUCCAUCACGGUUCCGUGACCGUGCGCCGUUUUAACCAGCAUCUUGGCAUGCAUGUCGCCCUGCGCAUCUCGACAAUGAUGCUGAGGACUCUUCCGCGGCGACGCUUGGGGUCACCAAUGUCGUGGCGCUACUUGUCGCGCACGACCUGGGAGGAUCGCGGUGCAUGCGUCGGCGGGGUCGUUUUCCUACCCUUGGAGUCCCCGUGCGGCCCGUAGGCAGCAUGGCUCUAUCCUUGGGUCCGGUGGUGCGCGGAACGUCGUCGUGGCUGCGGACGCUGCCGCUCACCUGGAUCCUGGUACCAGAAUGGUGUGGGUGGUCUUGAUCUCCACCGCCACCAGCGUCUACCCUGUCGCCCGUCCGUGUCGGCGCGGGCAGACCGGCUCCAGACGAGCCGAUCAUUAUGAUCGUCUUCUUCUUGGGAGCCAUGAUGAUGAAGAAGCUGACGCGCUAAGUGCUAGACCAGGUUUGCACAACCUCGCCCCCCUACCUGGAGCGCCAAAGAUGUUGGGGAAAUGACACCUAUGGAAUCACGUGGAUCCCUUCUACGGUUGGCAGGGAAGAGGAAUGCACAAAGAGCAGGUCCAGCGAUCAACACGAAGGAUUUUUACCCAGGUUCGGGCCGCUGGGACGCGUAAAACCCUAGUCCUGCUUUGAGUGUAUAUUUAGUGUUCUUGAACCUUGACUAGCUGCUAUGCGUGUCUAGCCCAAAAGUUCAAAUCCUCCUCCAGUACGCCUAGGCCUCCUUUAAUACGUCCAAUGGGUCGCCAAAUUGGCACACAGGAGGUGUGAAGUAGCUAUAGAGCAUAUGCUUAUCACUGACAUUGUACGACAACGCAUUAAAUGUGCUGCUUAAGCUCCCUAACUUUAUUGGGGAGGGAGAUAGAGCCCGUCCUAUCCGUCGCUGCCUCACCCCAUGUUGACACGCAUUUAGGCUAAUGAGCCAUGCAGCACUAGGUUGACUGGCUAGCCGCUGCGCUGGAGCGGUGGCAGGACCUUCACAAAGAUCUGCAUGCCACCACGCAGGUGCUUGCUUAGUUGGCAGACUGGUCGCCGCGCUGGAACGACCGUGGGGUGGCGGAACCUUGUCGUGUGCAAGCCUCACUAUGGCUUCGCAGUUGUCCCCGACAAGAGUCUUGCCGGGGUCUCUUGGUCGUCCCCGGAAAGAGCCUUGCCGGGGGCUUCAUCCUCUGGUCUCCAUGAAGAUCUACAAGCCACCGGUCUUCAAAAAGAUCUACAUGCUACUACGCAUGUGCCCCGGAUCUUGGUCUUGACGUUGUCGAUGGUGUCAGAGCUCUCAGCCUCAAGGGUGGUGGCCUUGCUGGUGCUUCGCAAAUUACCCCGGCAGGGAUCUUGCCGGGGCUUCGCGAGCCAUUAUCGACAAGGGUCUUGCCGGGGGCCAACUUGUCUUCUGUUUUCUAAUUACUAGCUUGGAUGCUGCCUUGGUCAUCUUGUAUCUUGUCUCCUACUGCCCCUGCCUGGCCCUGCUACAGGUGCGACUGCAACAUGUGAUCGCACUUUGAUCUAUACAUUGAUGUAUUGUGUGUGCCAGCAUACUGAUCCAGGGAUGGCACAGAUACACAAAGGCUUGACCUUCUGAGGUCGGGUCGCUACAAGAUAAGUAUUUCCCUCAAUUUGAGAACCAAGGUAUCAAUCCAGUAGGAGACAACGCACAAAUCACCGAAUACCUGCACAAACAAUAAAACAACUUGCACCCAGCGCGAUAAAGGGGAUGUCAUUCCCUUCAGGGUUACUUGCGAAAGUGAGAUCUGAUAGAGAUAGAUAAACGAUAAAAUAAAUAUUUUUGGUAUUUUGGGUUUAUAGAUCUAAAAGUAAACGAUUGCAAAAUAGUAGAUCGGAAACUAAUAUGAUGGAAAAUAGACUCGGGGGCCAUAGGUUUCACUAGAGGCUUAUCUCAAGAUAGCAAAUAAUACAGUGGGUGAACAAAUUACUGCCGAGCAAUUGGUAGAAAAGCGCAAAAUUAUGACAAUAUCUAAGGCAAUGAUCAUGAAUAUAGGCAUCACGUCUGUGUCAAGUAGACCGAAACGAUUCUGCAUCUAGUAGUUUUACUCCACACAUCGACCGACUCCUACCUAAAUCUAGAUAUUAAGUUCCUGAAGAAUAGAGUAACGCAUUAAGUAAGAUGACAUGAUGCAGAUGAAUAAACUCAAGCAAUAAAAUGUAAACCCCAUCUUUUUAUCCUUGAUGGAAAUAAUACAAUACGUGCCUUGCUACCCCUGAUGUCACCGGGAAAGGACACUGCAAGAUUGAACCCAAAGCUAAGCACUUCUCCCAUUGCAAGAAAAACCAAUCCAGUUCGAAGAGAAUUACAGAGAUAUCAAAUCAUGCAUAUAAGAAUUCAGAGAAGAUUUAAAUAAUAUUCAUAGAUAAGCUGAUCAUAAAUCCACAAUUCAUCGGAUCUCAGCAAACACACCACAAAAAAGUAUUACAUGAAUAGAUCUCCAAGAACAUCGAGGAGAACAUGGUAUUGAGAAUCAAAGAGAGAGAAGAAGCCAUCUAGCUACUAGCUAUAGAUCCGUAGGUCUGAGGUAAACUACUCACGCUUCAUCAGAAGGGCAAUAGAGUUGAUGUAGGAGCCCUCCGUGAUUGAAUCCCCCUCCGUGAGGGUGCAGGAAAAGGUCCCUAGAUGGGAUCUCGUGGGUACAGAAGGUUGCGGCGGCAGAAAAGUGUUUUCAUGGAUGCUCCUGGUGGUUUGGGGAUAUAUAUGGGAAUAUAUAGGCAAAAGAAUUAGGUCAGGAGGGUCAAGGGGCCCACAAGGGUGGGGGCACGCCCUACCCCCCUGGGCGCGCCCUCCGUCCUUGUGGUCGUCUCGUGGCUCCUCUGACUUCAUCUCCAAGUCUCCUGGUUGUCUUCUGGUCCAAGAAAAAUCAUCGCGAAGGUUUCAUUCCGUCUGGACUCUGUUUGGUAUUCUUUUUCUACGAAACUCAAAAACAAGGGGGGAAAAUAGGAACUGGCACUAGGCUCUAGGUUAAUAGGUUAGUCCAAAAAAUAUAAAAUAGCAUAUUAAUUAAUAUAAAGCAUCCAAAACAGAUAAUAUAAUAGCAUGGAACAAUCAAAAAAUAUAGAUACAUUGGUGACGUAUCAAUGCCCAGUGCCCCAAAUUAGAUUGAAAAAAUCAUAUACGUGUACUUGAGUGAAUGUUUAGAACCCAUGCAAGGAAUGGGAAUGAAUUUCAAAACUCUGGGCAUCAUGGCUCGGCCUUUAACCUUGAGAAACUUGGUUUCCAAAUUCCUGUAAAUCCAAAACUCCCCUGAAAAUCAUGAGACUUGACAUGCUGUUAUGACAUGGCACCAACAUGUUGUGGUAAAAUAAUUGUCCGAUUUGGGACAAGUUUUGGUAUAAACUUCUCAGAAACCUAAUCUUCUCACAAAAGGCUAAUGGUUCUGAGGUGGAACGUGUCACCUCUGUGUGCGAAAGGACAUACACUCUUUCUUCCCGCCUUGAUUUAUUAUACAGAGGUAACAUGCAACUAUAGGAGUGUCGUGUUAAAAUUUAAAUUAUUUAGGGUUCGUUUGGCCUUUUAUACACUAUUUGAGUUUCUAGGCAUUUGAUGUGCAUAUUUCAAAUUUGAACAAUAAGCACAUGCCCCAGUGCACCAAACCGGGUUGAAAGAUAAUAUACAUAUCCUUGGUUGAAUGUUUAGGUCCCAUGCAGAAAAUGGGAUGAAUUUCAAACAUCUGGGCGUCGUGGCUCGGUCUUAAACAUUGAGAAACUUCCAUUUAAGGUUCCAAUAAAUCCAAACUCUCCUGAAAAUGCUUAAACUUGGCAUGGUGUUUUGAUAUGGCACCUACAUGUUGUGGCAAAAAAAUUGUCCAAUUUGGGACAAAUUUUGCUAUAAACUUCUCAUAACUGGCGUUUCUCUCAAAAAGCCUUAGGGUUCCGAGAGGGGGAACGUGUCACCUCUGCGUGCGAGACGACAAACGAUGCCUUAUCCCACAUUGAUUUAUUUUACAGAGGCAACAUGCAACUAUAGGAGUGUUGUGUUAAAAUUUUGAUUUAUUCAGUGUCCGUUUGGCCUUUUUAUACAUUAUUUGAGUUUCUAUGCAUUUAAUGUGCAUAAUUCAAAUUUGAACUACAGGCACAUGCCAAGUGCAACAAAUCGGGUUGAAAAAUUUUAUACGUGUCAUUGAGUGAAUGUUUUGGUCCCAUGCAAGAAAUGGGAAUGAAUUUAAAACGUCUAGGCGUCAUGGCUCGGCAUUAAACAUUGAGAAACUUGGUUUUAUAAAUUUUGUAAAUCCAGAACUCUCGUGAAGAUCAUGAAACUUGGCAUGGUGUUAUGACAUGGCACAAACUAGCUAUGGUAAAAAAUAAUUCCUGAUUUUAGACAAACUUCUCACAAACCGGAGUUUCUCUCGAAAAGCGUCAUGGUUCCGAGAAGGAACGUGUCACCUCUUUGUGCGAAACGACAUACAUUGCCUCUUCCCGCCUUAAUUUAUUUUACAGAGGCAACAUGCAACCAUAGGAGUGCCAUAUUAAAAUUUCGAAUUAUUAAGGGUUCGUUUGGCCUUUUAUACAUUAUUUGAGUUUCUAGGCAUUUAAUGUACAUACUUAGCAUUUGAACUACAUGCACAUGCCACAGAGCACAAAACCGGGUAUAUGUUUAGGUCCCGUGCAAAAAAUGGGAAUGAAUUUCAAACAUCUGGGUGUCGUGGCUCGGCAUUAAACAUUGAGAAAGUUGGUUUUAGAAUUCCUGUAAAUCCAAAACUUGCCUAAAAAUCAUGAAACUUGCCAUGGUGUUAUGACAUGGCACCAACAUGUUGUGGUAAAAAGUUUUUCCUAUUUGGGACAACUUUUCGUAUAAACUUCUCACAAACUGGAGCUGGUCCCAAAAAGCCUCAUGGUUCAGAGAGGGAAUGUGUCAUGUGUGUGUGCGAAACGACAUACUCGGCCUAUUCCCGCCUUGAUUUAUUUUAGACAGGCGACACACAACUAUAGGUGUGUUGUGUUAAAAUUUGGAAUUAUUCAAUGUUCCUUUGGCCUUUUUAUACAUUAUUUGAGUUUCUAGGCAUUUAAUGUGCAUAAUUCAAAUUUGAACUAUAGGCAGAUGCCCCUGUGCACCAAACCAGGUUGGAAAAUCAUAUACGUUUCCUUGGGUGAAUGUUUAGAUUCCAUGCAAGAAAUGGGAAUGAACUUCAAAUACAUCGGCAUCAUGGCUCGGCCUUAAACAUUGAGAGACUUGGUUUUAAAAUUCCUGUAAAUCCAAACUCGCCUGCAAAUCAUGAAACUUAGCAUGGUGUUAUGACAUGGCACCAACAUGUUGGGGUAAAACAUUUGUUCGAUUUCGGAAAAGUUUUGGUAUAAAAUUCUCACAAACCGGAGCUUCUCUCAAAAAUAAUCAUGGUUCUUAUGGUUCCUAGAGGGAACGUGUCACCUCUAUGUGCAAACCGACAUAUGCUUUCUCUUUCCACCUUGAUUUAUUUUACAGAGGCAACAUGCAACCGUAGAAGUUUCGUGUUAAAUUUUGGAAUUAUUCAGGGUCUGUUUGGCAUUUUGGUGCAUUAUUUGAGUUUCUAGACAUUUAACAUGCAUAAUUCAAAUUUGAAAUACAGGCACAUGCCCCAGUGCACCAAACCGGACUGAAAAAUCAUAUAUGUGUCCUUGGGGUGAAUGUUUAGGUCCUAUGCAACAAACGAGAAUGAAUUUCAAACAUCUGAGCGUCAUGGCUCGGCCUUAAACAUUGAGAAGCUUGGUUAAAAAUUCUUCUUAAUCCAAAACUUGCCUGAAAGUCAUGAAACUUGGCAUGGUGUUAUGACAUGGCACCAAAAUACUGUGGUAACAAGUUUGUCUGAUUUGGGACAAGUUCUUUUAUAAACUUUUCGCAAACCGAAGAUUCUCUCAAAAAGCCUAAUGGUUUGAGAGGGAAAGUGUCACCUCUAUGGGCGAAAAGACUUACGCUGCCUCUUCUCGCCUUGAUUUACUUUACAGAGGCAACUUGCAACUAUAGGAGUGUCGUGUUAAAAUUUGGAACGAUUCAGGGUUUGUUUGGGAUUUUUAUAGAUUAUUUGAGUUUCUAGGCAUUUAAUGUGCAUAAUUUUAAUUUGAACAACAGGCACAUGCCCAGUGCACCAAACCAGGAUGAAAAUUCAUAUAUGUGCCCUUGGGUGAAUGUUUAGGUCCCAUGCAAGAAAUGAGACUAAAUUUCAAACAUCUGGGUGUCGUGGCUCGACCUUAAACAUUGGAAACUUGGUUUUAAAAUUCCUAUAAAUCCAAAACUCGCUUGAAAAACAUGAAAGUUGGCAUGGUGUUAAGACAUGGCACCAACGAGCUGUGGUUAAAAAAAUCCGGUUUGGGACAAGUUUUGGUAUAAACUUUUCACAAACCGGAGCUUCUCUCAAAAAGCCUUAUGGUUCCGAGAGGGAACGUAUCAACUCUAUGUGUGAGAUGACAUAUGAUGCCUCUUCCAGCCUUGAUUUAUUUUAUAGAGGCAACAUGCAACCGUAGACGUGCCAUGUUAAAAUUUGGAAUUAUUCAGGGUCCAUUUUGCCUUUUUAUACAUUAUUGGAGUUCCUAGUCAUUUAAUGUGCAUUAUACGAAUUGAACUACAGGCACAUGGCCCAGUGCACCAAACCAGGCUGAAAAAUCAUAUACAUGUCCUUGGGUGAAUGCUUACGUCCCAUGCAAGAAAUGAGAAUGAAUUUCAAACAUAUGUGCAUCAUGGCUCGGCCUUAAACAUUAAUAAACUUGGUUUUAAAAUUCUUGUAAAUCCAAAACUCGCAUGAAAACCAUGAAACAUGGCAUGGUGUUAUGACAUGCCACCAACAUGUUGUGGUAAAAAAUCGUCCAAUUUGGGACAAGUUUUGGUAUAAACUUCUCACAAACAGGAGCUUCUCUCAAAAAGCGUCAGAGUUCCGAGAGGGAGCGUGUCACCUCUUUGUGCGAGACGACACACGAUACCUCAUCCCACCUUGAUUUAUUAUACAGAGGCAACAUGCAACUAUAGGACUGGCAUGUUAAAAUUUUAAAUUAUCCUGAGUUUGUUUGGCCUCUUUAUACAUUAUUUGAGUUUCCAGGCAUUUAAUGUGCAUAAUUAAAACUUGAACUACAGGCACAUGCCCGGUGUACCAAACCAGGUUGAAAAAUCAUAUAUGUGUCCUUAGGUGAAUGUUUAGGUCCCAUGCAAGAAUUGGUAAUGAAUUUCAAACAUCAGGGUGUAGCGGCUCGGCCUUAAACAUUGAGAAACUUGUUUUAAAAAUUCUUGUAAAUCCAAAUUCUCCUGAAAAUCAUGAUAUCUGGCAUGGUGUUAUGACACGGCACCAACAUGUUGUGGUAAAAAAGUUGUCUGAUUUGAGACAAGUUUUGGUCUAAACUUCUCACAAACUGGAGCUUCUCUCAAAAAGCCUCAUGGUUCCAAGAGGGAACGUGUCACAUCUGUGCACGAAACUACAUAUGCCGCCUCUUGCUGCCUUGAUUUAUUUUACAAAGGCAACAUGGAACCAUAUGAGUGUCAUGUUAAAAUUUGGAAUUGUUCAGGGUUUGUUUGUCUUUUUAUUAAUUACUUGAGUUUUUAGCCAUUUAAUUGUGCAUAAUUCAAAUUUGAACUACAAGCACAUGCCCCGUGCAACACACCAGGUUGAAAAAUCAUAUGUGUGUCCUCGGGUGUAUGUUAGGUCCCAAGCAAGAAAUGGGAAUGAAUUUCAUACAUCUGGGUGUCAUCGCUCGGCCUUAAACAUUAUGAAACUUUGUUUUUCCUAUAAAUCCAAACUCACGUGAAAAUCACGAAACUUUGCAUGGAGUUAAGACAUGGCACCAACAUGCUGUGGUAAAAAGUUUGUCCGAUUUGGGACAAGUUUAGGUAAAAACUUCUCACAAACCGGAGCUUGUCCCAAAAAGCCUCACCGAGAGGCAACAUGUCACCUAUCUGUGCGAAACGCAUACGCUCCCUCUUCCUACCUUGAUUUAUUUUAAAAAUGCAACAUGAAACCAUAGUAUUGUCGUGUUGAAACUCAAAAUUAUUAAAGGUUUGUUUGACCUUUUAAACAUCAUUUUAAUUUCUAGGCUUUAAUGUGCAUAAUUCAAAUUUGAAUUACAUGCACAUGCCCUAGUGCACCAAACCGGACUGAAAAAUCGUAUACGUGUCUGUGGGUGAAUCUUUAGGCCCCAUGCAAGAAAUGAGAAUGAAUUUCAAACAUCUAGGUGUCAUGGCUCGGCCUUAAACAUUGAGAAUGUUGGUUUUAGAAUUCCUGUAUAUCCAAAACUUGGAACUAUAGGAGUGUCGUGUCAAAAUUUGGAAUUUUUCAGGGUUCAUUUGGCUUUUUAUACAUUAUUUGAGUUGGUAGGCAUUUAAUGUGCAUAAUUUGAAUUGGAAUUAUAGGCACAUGCCCUAGUGCAACAGACUAGGUUGAAAAAUCGUAUACGUGUCAUUGGGUGAACGUUUAGAUGCCAUGCAAGAAAUGGGAAUGAAUUUCUUACAUAUUGGCGUCAUGGCUCGGCCUUAAACAUUGAGAAACUUGGUUUUAAAAUUGUUGGAAAUCCAAAACUCGCCUGAAAAUCAUGAAACUUGGCACGGCGUUAUGACAUGGCACCAACAUGUUGUGGUAAAAAAUUGUUUGCUUUGACACAAGUUUUGGUAUAAACUUGUCACAAACUGGAGCUUCUCUCAAAAAGCUUCAUGGUUCCGAGAGGGAACGUAUCACCUCUAUAUGCAAAACGACAUACCUUGCCUCUUGCCAGCUUGAUUUAUUUUAAAGAGGCUACAUGCAACCAUGUCAAGUUUUGUGAUUUUUAGGGUUCAUUUGGCCUUUUAUUCAUUAUUUUAGUUUCUUGUCAUUUAAUAUGCAUAUUUCAAAUUUGAACUACAGGCACAUGCCCAUUGCACCAAACCGGGUUGAAAAAUCAUAUGUGUGUCCUUGGGUGUAUGUAUAGGUCCCUGCAAGAAAUGGGAAUGAAUUUCAAACAUCUUGGCAUCGUGACUCACCUUAAACAUUGAGAACCUUUGUUUUAAAAUUCCUGUAAAUCCCAAACUCGCCUGAAAAUCAUAAAACUUAGCAUGGUUUUAUGACAAGCACCGACAUGUUGUGGUAAAAAAAUUCUAUGAGUUGAGACAAGUUUUAUAAUUCUUGUAAAUCCAAAACUAGCAUGAAAAUCAUGAAACUUUGCAUGAUGUUAUGACAACGCACCAACUUGCUGUGAUAAAAGAUUUGUCUGAUUUGAGACAAGUUUUGGUAUAAACUUCUCACAAACCCGAGCUUCUCUCAAAAACCCUCUUGGUUCCGAGAGGGAACGUGUCACCUCUGUGAGCGAAACGAGAUAAGUUGCCUCUUCCCGCCUUCAUUUAUUUUACAGAGGCAACAUGCAACCGUAGAAUUGUCGUGUUAAAAAUUAGAAUUAUUCACGGUUCAUUUGGCCUUUUAAUACAUUAUUUGAGUUUCUAGGCAUUUAAUGUGCAUAAUUAAAUUUAAACUACAGGCACAUGCCCCAGUACACCUAACCGGAUUGAAAUAUCAUAUAUGUAUACUUGGGUGAAUGUUUAGGUCCCAUGCAAGAAACAUGUAUGAAUUUCAAGCAUCUGGGUGUCUUGGCUUGGCCUUAAACAUUGAGAAAGUUGGUUUUAAAAUUCAUGUAUAUCCAAAGCUCGCCCGAAAAUCAUGAAACUUGGCAUGGUUUUACGACAUGGCACCAACAUGAUGUGGUCAAAAAUAUGCCUGAUUUGGGACAAGUUUUGGUAUAAACUUCUCACAAACCAGAGCUUCUCUCAAAAAACCUCAUGGUUCCGAGAGGGAACUUGUCACCUCUGUCUGUCAAAAGACAUAUGGUACCGCUUCAUGCCUUUAUUUAUUUACGGAGGCAAAUCAUAACCAAAGGAGUGUCAUGUUAAAUUUUGGAAUUAUUCAGGGGUCGUUUGGCCUUUCUAUACAUUAUUUGAGUUUCUAGGCAUUUAAUGUGCAUAAUUCAAAUUUCAACUACAUGCACAUGCCCUAGUGUAUCAAACUGGGUUGAUAAAUCAUAUACGCAUCCUUGGGUGUAUAUUUAGGUCCCAUAUAAGAAAUGGGAAUGAAUACCUAAUAUCUGGGCGUCGUGGCUUGGCCUUAAACAUUGAGAAAGUUGGUUUUGAAAUUCCUGUAAACCAAAACUAGCCUAAAAAUUAUGAAACUUGUCGGGUGCGGGCCUGGUUGUGGCCCUACAAUUGUCCCCGGCAAGAGUCUUGCCGGGGGCCUCGCAGUCGUCCCCGGCAAGGACCUUGCCGGGGGUCUUCGUUCUCUGGUCCCCAUGUAGACUUGUAGGCCAUUAGUGUUCACAAAGAUCUGCAUGCUACUAUGCACGCACCCCCGAGCCUUGGCCUCGACGUUGUUGAUGAUGUUAGAGCUCUUAGUCUCAAGGGUGAUGGCCUUGCUGGUGCUUCACGGGCUGCCCCGACAAGGAGCUAGCCGGGGCCAUGCAAGCCGCCCCGGCAAAGAUGUUGUCGGGGAGGUUCAUCUUGUCUUCUGCUCUCUGUUCACUGUCUUGAAUGUUGUCUUGGUCGUCUUGUAUCUCUCCUUCCACGGCCCCGCCAAGCCUUGUCGCAUGUGUGGCUAUAACUGCCCGUGCACAAGUAAGGGGUACUGAAAUGCCCAUACUUUUGUACACCGACAGGAGCCCCCGGGUCUGGGCCACACAUAAGCGCGAAGCGUUGUUGGGCUAGGCCCAGAUCAGUGCGCGGGCGCACAUGGCAGAGGUUAAUCGCUGUAAAGUUCUCGUCAGUUGCGCUUCCCCACGAUCCGCAUUGACUGUGUGACGUGGGGGUUGUGCGUGGAACGGUCGUAGCACGCCUGCGACACCUCACGUCCAACGGGAAAGAGGCGGCCCACUCCUUCCCCAUAAAAAGAGGAAGCCGCAGGGGAACUGCUCAUUUACAAAGUGGACUCGGGUCGUGGCUUGCAUGGCGCCCGCUCCCCACGAUCACGGGAUGGAAAAUGGUUGUCCCAAUUGUCUUUAUGCUUCUGGCUCACCCGCCAUGUGUCUCCAUGCCUUUGGAAGGGUAGGUGGUGGAUGCAGAGGGCACGUGUAUUUACACCAAGGCGGGAAACCGGGUGUCGCUGAUUGGAGUAGCGGGUCGGUCCUGAUUCCCCGCGCCUUUGGAGGCUGCAUUGGUCGAGCAGGGCAGCCGCCCUUGGGUUGAGAGGCUAGGCCUCGGCCCUGCCAUUCUAUAAAUAGGGUGGGGGAUGGUGCCUUUCCAAACUCACCUCCUUUCUCCCCUUUCUCCUUGGUAACCUUCUUCUGCUCGCCAUGGUGAGAGGGCGCGCUGGUGCUCCAAUGGCGGCGACGAGGGCUUCUGCUCGACAGCGCGUCCCUCCUCCUCCGGAGUUCGCGGCGGUGGAGCCCUCCAUGAGAGGGACAGGGAGGGGUGAGGCCAAGGUCACCGUGGCGCUCGGGGAAGAGGAGGACGGGGCGGUGCACCAGCUACGUCUCCGUCGGUGGCCCCUCCCCCAAUGGAGGGCCAUGUCGGGGACCAGCCCCGCGAGUUCUUCAUCAGGCUGUACAAGCCCAUGUGUGGUCAGCUCCGCCUCCCUACCCCGCUUGCUGGGGUAAUGGAGCUUGACCCACCGCAUGCCUUGAGGCUGCAUAUGAGGGGUUGCGGGUACGGCAGCAUGUGGGUCGACGUCGACUUCCCCGCUCCUCACGUCAUGUAUCUCCGCCAUGGUUGGAAAACAUUUGCCCGCGCCCAUAGCUUGUCGAAGGGGCACGUUCUCCAGUUUAAGUUAAUGGAGAGCGGCCUACUCUCCUUCAAGGUCUUUGGGUGCUCGAGAAUCCUCUUAGGGUGCUACGCGGAGAGCUCCACCGACGACGAAAGCUCCUCCUCAAGCGACGAUGAUGAGGAGGGCUGCGACAGCGACUGCAAUGGUAGCGGGCAGGAGGACAAUGACUCCGACUCCGGCUGACCAUCAGAGGCAGCACCAUCAUCUGCACACCCCCCCCCGACAACACACCUUGUCGGGGGUGGUGCCCUGCUGGCUCUGGAAUCGGUGGUUGGUGGGUUACCUCUGCCAUGCUCUCCAUCGACGCAUUCCCCAUGCCUCCCUCUGCCUUCACUUGCCGUGCCUGGGGAGGAAAAGGGCAAGAACGGGGAUUACGGGGCACUUAUCUUUUUUUUAACGUGUAGGCACUUGCCAUAUCUUAAUUUUCUAGAUAAUGUAAUCUCUCGAGCCCAUGCUUAUGUUCUAUAACAUGUGUACUUGCAUCAGUAUGUCAAUGAAAAAGAUGAGCCUUGUCGGGAACCCAUGCAUGUAUAUGUCCAUGCAAAGGCGAAAGGCCUCUUUAAUGUAAAUGAACGACGUUUCCCAGCAAGCUACCUUGUCGGCAAGCUACCUUGCCGGCACCCUCUGUGCCUGUCGGAGAGUCACAUCUGCCGGGUUACAGACAAAGGGUCCAGCCCCCUGCCAGUCUCUUUUUACCAAAGGCUACUGCGAGCAUCCUGACCAAAACAACGUUCGAGUCAGGGAUGGGAGCACCUAAGUUUAAGAAGAGUGGCGAGUUUUUCUAAUGCACAAGUAAUAGGUUAUGAACAUGAAUGGACAAGAGGUAAACUUUAUUUGUCUGGUUUGCUGGGGAUCGCAGCACCUGGCAGUCUUCUCAACCUCUUGUCGGAGCCAAGUUCAUGACAGGAAUGGCAGAACCGAGCAUCUUCCCUGUGGCUGGGAAGAAGAAAGGAUAGGAGCAUGGAACCUUGGUCGUUCAUUAGUAUCUGCUUGAAUCAAGGGUAGUACAAUAUCCUGGACAAGCAUGCAUGCAUAUACAUAUAUACAUAAAUGUGGAAUUAAUAGGAAACCGUACAUACUGAAAGUUAUUUGACUGCGCACAGGGUCUGUGCCUGGCUUUGUACAUAGGGUUACAUGCCUAGCCGACAAGGCUAGUACAAAAGGGGGGUUGCCGGGGCUCCCGGCAACUGCCCCUUAUGUAUAAAACUUGCGAAGAUGUUCGAUAUUCCAGGAGUUGCUCACCGAAAUACCAUCUUUGGUCUCCAAUCGGACUGCGUCGAGCCUGGUGACUCGGAUUACCCGAUAAGGGCCUUCCCACUUUGGCGUCAACUUGUUUGAAUUCUUGGCAGAUUGAAUACGCCGAAGAACAAGGUCGCCUUCCUCAAGGCUUCGGGCUUGAACCUUGCGACUAUGGUAGCGGCCCAAGGCUUGCUGGUAGCGCGCGGCUUGCAUAGCAGCCCGAACACGAUCUUCCUUAAGGAGUGUAGCAUCAUCUUUGUGCAACUCCUCUUGCUCAAGCUCAUCAUAAGCAAGCACUCGAGGUGACCCGUAUAUGAGUUCUGUGGGGAGAACCGCCUCUGCCCCGUAUACUAGGGAGAAAGGUGUCUGGCCAGUGGCUCGAUUCGAUGUCAUUCUGAUUGACCAAAGAACCAUUGGAAACUCAUCAAUCCAGUGUCUCCCUCACUUGCGUAUCCAGUCGAAAGUUCUUGUAUUGAGGCCUCGCAACACUUCAGCAUUUUCCCUUUCUUCCCGGCCGUUGCUUCUCGGAUGAGCAACAAAAGCAAAACAAACUUUGCUGCUGAUGUCUUGGAUAUACUGCAUGAAAGUGUGGCUCGUGAACUGCAUGCCGUUGUCGGUGAUGACUCUGUUUGGCACACCAAAAUGGCAGACUAGUCCCUUGAAGAACUUGAUGGCUGAUUGUGCCGUCACCUUUCUCACUGGUUCCACUUCUGGCCACUUUGUGAACUUGUAAAUUGCAACGUACAAGUACUCAAAGCCCCCGACAACAUGGGGAAAGGGACCCAGUAUGUCGAGUCCCCAGACUGAAAAUGGCCAGGAAAGAGGGAUUGUCUGAAGAGCUUGAGCUGGUUGAUGAAGUUUCUUUGAAUGGAACUUGCACGCUUCACACUUGGUUACUAGUGCAGUUGCAUCCUGGAGAGCUAGGCCAAAUGAAACCUUGCCGGAAUGCCUUACCGACAAGGGCUCUUGACCCUAUGUGGGAGCCACACAUGCCUCCAUGUAUCUCUGCCAACAGCUCCAGUCCGUCCUCCUAAGGAAUGCACUUCAAUUUCACACCGUUCGGUCUCCUUCUGUAUAGGACAUCAUCCACAAACUGAUACAUGCUGGACCGACGGGCUACUUUCUCUGCCUCUUCCUAUUCCUCAGGGAGUUCCCUUAUUUGGAGGAACCAAACAGUGUGUUGUGCCCAUGCCGGAGCCUGAGGCUCGACGGCAAGGACUAAAGGCAUGUCUUCUGCCGCGGGGGCAGUUGUCUUGACGACAAGGGCUUGAGGCCCUGCCGAAGCCUGCUGCUCCCCGACAAGCUUGGAGUCCCCGGCAACUUCCUUGCUGGCGGCUCCUGGGAGCUCAGCAGGAAAGUACUUGCUGGGGCCCGCCUUCCUUCACUAAUUCUGCCCUGCUGUAGUUCAACGGACGGCUGAGUCAAUUGGAGCACAAAGGUACCUGGUUCCACAGGAAACUUGUGGGCAGCAUGUUUUGACAAGUCGUCGGCAAUGUUGUUCUCUGCUUGAGGAACAUGCUCUGCUUGCAGACCGUCAAAAUGCUCCUCCAACUUCCUCCCUUCAUCUACGUAGGUUCCCAUCAACGUGCUCUGAUAAUAUUUGUUAACUUGCUUGACGACAAGCUGCGAAUCACCUCUGAUGAUAAGCUUCCUGAUUCCAAGGUCUGCCGCGAUUCUGAGACCGGCAAGUAGUCCCUCAUACUCUGCAGUGUUGUUUGUUGAUUUUGCCCAGGGAAAGUGCAUUUGGAUUACAUACUUGAGGCGCUCCCCGGUGGGUGCAACGAGUAGCACGCCGACACCAGCACCUUGCAGCGAGAAAGCCCCAUCGAAGUACAUAAUCCAAUCACGACUCGUCUCCUUGCCGGGAAGUGUGGUCUCUUGAAUUUCUUCGUCAGGCGUUGAAGUCCAUUCUGCUAUGAAAUCUGCCAAGGCUCUGCUCUUGAUUGUCGAAGUGCUUUCAAACCUAAGACCAAAACUUGACAUUUCCAACGCCCACACCACGAUCCUCCCGGUUGCAUCUGGGUUGUGCAAGAUCCGUUGCAACAGGAGGCGAGUGACGAGAGUGAUCUUAUGUGCUUGGAAGUAGUGACGCAGCUUUCUCAAGGCCAUAAGAAGGCUGAAAAGCAGCUUCUGCAUACCACACUACCUUGAUCUAGCCCCCUCCAAGAGGGAGCUGACAAAAUAAACCGGGUGCUGCAUCACCUUCUUCUUUUGUUUCACUUUGCCUGCUUGCGCAGAUCCUAUCUCGCCGGGACCGGGCUCUGCCGAGGGUCCUGCCUUGCGGGCACCAGGCUUUGCCGGGGAAGGCCCCAGCUCAUCAUCUGAUGGCCUCACUAUUGCUGCUGCUUCUUCCCCAACUUCUCUUUGUGACACUAAGGUGGCACUGACCACUUGAUUCAUCGCCUCUAAAUAUCGCAGCAAUGGUUCUUGUGGUUUAGGCGCGACUAGUAUUGGCGUAGAGGAGAGGUACCUCUUCAAAUCUUGCAGCGCUGCCUCCGCUUCCGGAGUCUAUUUCAUUGGACUCGCCUUUUUCAAAAUUUUGAAAAAGGGCAGGGCGCGCUCAGCAGAUUUGGAGAUGAACCUACUCAGUGCAGCAACGCAGCCAGCAAGCCUACAAACAUCCUUGACGUCUUGGUGCCUCAAUCUUCUCAAUCGCUUUGAUCUUGUCGGGAUUUGCUUUGUUUCCGCGUUGAGAUACAAAGAACCCAAGAAGUUUUCCGGAUGAGACGCUGAACACACACUUCUCAGGGUUGAGUUUGAGGUUGAUCUUGCGCAAAUUUGCAAAUGUUUCCUCCAGAUCUUGCACGAGCGUGGCCUUGUCCUUGGUUUUGACCACUAUAUCAUCCAUAUAAGCUUCCAUAUUUCUAUGUAGCUGGGGCUCAAAACCAAUUUGGACCGCUCAGGCAAAUGUUGAACCAGCACUUUUCAACCCGAAAGGCAUUCAUACAAAACAGUACGUACUACAUGGGGUGAUGAACGCGGUCUUUUCUUCAUCUUCCUUCUUCAUAAAGAUUUGGUGGUAUCCUGAGUAGGCGUCGAGGAACGACGGCAGGUCACACCCGGCAGUGGAGUCCACUAUCUGGUCGAUGCGUGGCAAAGGGAAAGGAUCCCAUUUUCCUUGCGCACCACCACUGGAUUGGCGAACCACGUUGGGUGGAGCACUCCUCUGACUAAGCCUGCCGCUUCCAACUUCCUGAUCUCCUCAAUGAUGAACUCUUGCCGCUCCAAAGCUUGCUUCCUAACCUUCUGCUUGACGGGCCGCGCAUGGGGACAGACAGUAAGGUGGUGCUCAAUCACCUCCCUGGGAACACUGGGAAUGUCGGAUGCUUGCCAUGCAAACACAUCGACAUUUGCCCGCAGCAAGGUGACGAGCACGCUUUCCUAUUUGCUGUAGAGGGUGGAGCUUAUGAUAAAAGCUCCGCCCAUGCCAUCCUCCUUGAUGGGUACCUUCUUGGUUUCUGGUGGGGCUGCCUUAGAUCUCUUGCUCUUGCCGGUGGAGCUCUCUAGCACGUCCUCAACGGGAAUGCAACACUUCGAAGAGGCAUGUUUGCCGGAGUGGGUGCAGGAGUCUUUGCUGGAGCCAGGAGACUUGCUGGUAGUUGAAGUCUUGCCGGCGACCAAGGCCUUGCCGGUCUUCUUCCCAGUAGCAGGAGCAAGUGUUUUGGCAACGGAUGCUACAACUGCCUCUCGGUAGAGUUGGUCGGCACAGAUGAGCGCAUCCCUCUUGUCGCAGCUGACGGUGAUGAUGCUCAUCGGGUCGGGCAUCUUUAGCUUGUUGUACACGUAGUGUGACGCCGCCAUAAACUUGGCCAGCGCUGGACGGCCAAGGAUCCCGUUAUAUGGCAACGGGAUCUUGGCGACAUAAAAAACGAUCUUCUCUGUCCUGUAGUUCAGGUCACCACCAAACGUGACAGGUAGCGUGACCUUUCCUUUAGGCUGGCUUCUCCCUGGAUUGAUCCCUUGGAACGUACCUAUUUCUUCAAGAUCUUCAUCAAGGAUCUGCAACUUCUUGAUUACGUUGGGUGAGAUUAAGUUCAAACCAGCCCCACCAUCAUCUAGCAUUUUCAUCACCUUGAGGUUGUUAUUGUUGGUGAAACCAACAAUGGGAAACACCCGACCGCGGUUGUGCAAUCAGGGUGAUCCUCGACGUCAAAAAUGAUAGGCGUGUUGGACCAUUUCAGUGGCUUCUGGGCGUCGAUCAUCAGUUCCGUCGCAUUAAUCUCACGCGCCCACUAUUUAAGUUGGUUGUGGGAAGAAUGCAACGAGGCACCUCCAUCGACACACAUGACCUCCGUUGCUUUCUAGAACUCGUGCUCAGUGGACUCGUCAUCAUCGUGACAAUCAUCAUCUCCUUCUUCCUUGUCGCUGCCUCGAGCAGGCCUCUCUUGUUGCUUAUCUUUGCUACGGCGACCUCCUUGGUCGUGGCGCUUCUUGUCGGAUCCGUCUGCACCAUCCUGGCCCUCCUCUUUGUCUUGUCUUUCAUACUCAGUCCUCUGCUUCUCCAUCAGCUGCUCAACUUGAUGGCCGUUUUGGAGAUCAUGGCCUUUGGUGCGGUGAAUCUUGCAAUAUUGCUUGUCGGAGCCCUCUGGCUUGCCGGCAGCCGCCAAAGCUCUACAUGUGUUACACCCGGCAAUAUCCUUGCCAGGGUCGUCAACCUUGGCCUUCUUAGCGGUAGCGUGGUCGCCGGUUUCCUCAACGGCAAGCACGGUCUUUCCCUUGCGCUUCCUGCAUCGCCGACCCUUCUUUGCCGGGGCGACGAUGUCUUCAUCUUUAGAGUCACUUCCCGGGUCGGCAUCUUCGCCGGGGUACUUUCUUCCUUCUUCAGCUCGGGCACACCUUUCGGCCAAAACAUAAAGCUCGGCAACAUCCGCAACCUUGUUCAUCGCCAGUUCUUCACGCAUCUUACGAUUGUGCAUGUUCUCAUGGAACACGCUAAUGACAAUGGCGGGAUGAACAUCUGGGAUGUUGUAUUGCACCCGGCUGAUUCUCUGUAUGUAUUUGCGCAAAUAUUCACCAUCCUUCUGAUGGAUGACGUGCAAAUCACUCGCCUGGCCAGGAGCUACGUGGCCUCCAGUAAAGGCGCCAACAAACUCGUGGCACAUAUCCGACCAAGUGGAGUUGGAAUCUACUAGUAGGUGCAUCAGCCAUGACCUGAUGUUGGGCUUGAGCACCAAUGGGAAAUACUUGGCGAGCAUCUUACCAUCCUGAGCCCUGGCAGCUUUCAUCGCAAUGGUGUAAACACUCAAGAACUCGGACGGAUGAGUCUUGCCAUCAUAGCUCUCCGGGAUCUCUGUUUUGAACGUGCGGGUUGUGGGCCACUCGAACUGCCCCAACUCACGGGUGAAUGUUGGACAGGUUAUUGCGUAAGGCAAAUCACCAAAAUCCCCUGGUGCAGGCUUGUAUGCAGUGGGCCCUGCUCGCCUAUCAGACUGAUGGCGUGCUUCCUGUCGCUGCUCGAUGGUGGUUCGACCGUCCUCCUUGAGCCGUUCCUGAAGAACUUGAUGUUGGUCGCGACGGGCUUGGGGAUCGGACGACGCCGUGGAUAUGUCGUCACGGACAUCGAUCUGACGAGCCGGCGACCGCCGUUGUCGUGGCGGAGGGAGUGCAUCAUGGUUGUGGUGCCCCCGGCCCUACCACUGUCAACACGAGCCGGCUCGGUUGUCUGGCACCGCAAAGGACUUGCCUCCUUGUGGCCAUCACUGUUGGCAUGGCAAAUAAGGCUUUGGAUAGCAGCCUUCCACUCAUCUUGCUUCUAUGUAGGAGGAGGAAAAUCGAGGAGUAGCCGCGCUCGUGCCAAUGCUUCUGCUCGCGUUGGCGGCAGCGACAAGCGCGAGGAAUGGGAGGAGCUCGUACUUCUAACUAUGUUAGAAGGAGUUCCAUCACGAUUCCACGGCCAUGCACCUUUUUCACCAGCAUCUUGGCGUGCAUGUCGGCCCUGCGCAUCUUGAGAAUGAUGCCGAGGGCUCUUGCUGCAACGAUGCCCGGGGUCACCAGCGUCGCGGCGCUACUCGUCACGCAUGACCUGGGAGGGCCGUGGUGUGUGUGUUGGCGAGGUGGUCUUCCUACCCUUGGAGGUCCCCGCAGUGCCCGUAGGCAGCACAUGUCCGUCAUUCGAUGCGGCAGCAUGUGGAUCGUCGUCGCUUCUACGGACGACGCCGCUCGCCUGGCUUGUGGUAUCAGGAUGAUGCGGAUGGUCUUGAUCUCCUCCGCCACCAGUGUCUGCCCCAUCGCCUAUUCGCGCUGGCACGGGCAGACCAGCUCCAGACGAACCGAUCUCUAUGAUCGUCUUCUUCUUCGGAGCCAUGGUGAUGAAAAGACUGACGUACUAACUACUAGACCAGAUUUUCACAACUUUUAUGCCUCCUACAUGGCGCGCCAAAGAUGUCGGGGAAACGACACCCAUGGGAUCACGAGGAUCCCUUCUAUGGUUGGCGAGGAGAGAGUUGCGCAAUAAGCAGGUCUGGUGGUCACCACGAGGGGUUUUAACCCAGGUUCGGGCCGCUGAGCAGCGUAAAACCCUAGUUCUGCUCUUGGGUGUAUAUUUAGUGUUCUUGAGUUCUUAGACUAGCUGCUAUGCAUGCCUAGUACAAAAAGUCCGAAUCCUUCUCCAGUAGGCCUCGGGCCUCCUUUCAUACGUCAAAGGGGUCGCCACAGUGGCACACAGGAGGUGUAAAGUAUCUAUAGUGUAAAAGCUUAUCGCUGACAUCGUAGGACAAAUGCAUUUAAUGCACUACUUACAUGCCCUCCAACUUUAUCGGGGAUGGUAAAAGAAAUCAUACCAUUCAUCGCCGCCUCUCCUUCCCUUGACACGCGUCCAGGCUGACGAGUCGUGCAACACUAGGCUGGCUGGCUAGCCGCUGUGCUGGUGCGGUGGUAGAGUGUCCACAAAGAUCUGCAUGCUGCCACGUAGGCAUCUGUCUAGUUGGCAAGAUGGUUGUUGCGCUGGAACGGGCGUGAGGUGGCGAAAACCUUGUCGAGUGCAGGCCUGGCUGUGGCCCUGCAAUUGUCCCCGGCAAGUGUCUGUUGGGGAACGUAGCAGAAAUUCAAAAUUUUCCUACGAAUCACCAAGAUCUAUCUAUGGAGAAACUAGCAACGAGAGAGAGGGGAGUGCAUCUACAUACCCUUGUAGAUCGCUAAGCGGAAGCGUUCAAGAGAACGGGGUUGAAGGAGUCGUACUCGUCGUGAUCCAAAUCACCGGAGAUCCUAGUGCCGAACGGACGGCACCUCCGUGUUCAACACACGUACAGCCCGGUGACGUCUCCCAUGCCUUGAUACAGCAAGGAGAGAGGGAGAGGUUGAGGAAGACUCCAUCCAGCAGCAGCACAACGGCGUGGUGGUGGUGGAGGAGCGUGGCAAUCCUGCAGGGCUUCGCCAAGCACCUGCGGGAGAGGAGGAGGUGUCACGGGAGGGAGGGAGGCGCCAGGGCUUCAGGUGCGGCUGCCCUCCCUCCCCUGCACUAUAUAUAGGGGCAAGGGAGAGGGGGAGGGCGCAGCCUUGCCCCUUCCUCCAAGGAAGGGGUGCGGCCAAAGGGGGGAGGAGUCCAUCCUCCCCACGGCACCUCGGAGGUGCCUUCCCCUCUUAGGACUCUCCCCUCCCCAAGUCUCCUUGGCGCAUGGGCCUCUUGGGGCUGGUGCCCUUGGCCCAUAUAGGCCAAGGCGCACCCCCUACAGCCCAUGUGGCCCCCCGGGGCAGGUGGACCCCCCGGUGGACCCCCGGACCCCUUUCGGCACUCCCGGUACAAUACCGAUAAAGUGUGAAACUUUUCCGGCGACCAAAAUAAGACUUCCCAUAUAUAAAUCUUUACCUUCGGACCAUUCCGGAACUCCUCAUGACGUCCGGGAUCUCAUCCGGGACUCCGAACAACAUUUGGUAACCACAUACAAACUUCCUUUAUAACCCUAGCGUCAUCGAACCUUAAGUGUGUAGACCCUACGGGUUCGGGAACCAUGCAGACAUGACCGAGACGUUCUCCGGUCAAUAACCAACAGCGGGAUCUGGAUACCCAUGUUGGCUCCCACAUGUUUAGAUGAACCACGAUGUCAAGGACUCAAUCGAUCCCGUAUACAAUUCCCUUUGUCUAGCGGUAUUGUACUUGCCCGACAUUCGAUCGUCGGUAUCCCGAUACCUUGUUCAAUCUCGUUACCGGCAAGUCUCUUUACUCGUUCCGUAACACAUCAUCCCGUGAUCAACCCCUUGGUCACAUUGUGCACAUUAUGAUGAUGUCCUACCGAGUGGGCCCAGAGAUACCUCUCCAUUUACACGGAGUGACAAAUCCCAGUCUCGAUUCGUGCCAACCCAACAAACACUUUCGGAGAUACCUGUAGUGCACCUUUAUAGCCACCCAGUUACGUUGUGACGUUUGGUACACCCAAAGCAUUCCUACGGUAUCCGAGAGUUGCACAAUCUCAUGGUCUAAGGAAAUGAUACUUGACAUUAGAAAAGCUUUAGCAUACGAACUACAUGAUCCUUGUGCUAGGCUUAGGAUUGGGUCUUGUCCAUCACAUCAUUCUCCUAAUGAUGUGAUCCCGUUAUCAAUGGCAUCCAAUGUCCAUGGUCAGGAAACCGUAACCAUCUAUUGAUCAACGAGCUAGUCAAUCAGAGGCUUACUAGGGACAUGGUGUUGUCUAUGUAUCCACACAUGUAUCUGAGUUUCCUAUCAAUACAAUUAUAGCAUGGAUAAUAAACGAUUAUCAUGAACAAGGAAAUAUAAUAAUAACUAAUUUAUUAUUGCCUCUAGGGCAUAUUUCCAAUAGUCUCCCACUUGCACUAGAGUCAAUAAUCUAGUUCACAUCGCCAUGUGAUUAACACUCACAGGUCACAUCGCCAUGUGACCAACAUCCAAAGAGUUUACUAGUGUCAUUAAACUAGUUCACAUCAUCAUGUGAUUAAGACUCAAUGAGUUCUGGGGUUUGAUCAUGUUUUGCUUGUGAGAGAGGUUUUAGUCAACGGGUCUUCAACAAUCAGAUCUGUAUGUAUUUCGCAAUUCUCUAUGUCAUAUUGUAAAUGCUGCUUCCACGCUCCACUUGAAGCUAUUCCAAAUGGUUGCUCCACUAUACGUAUCCAGUUUGCUACUCAGAGCCAUUCGGAUAGGUGUUAAAGCUUGCAUCGUCGUAUCCCUUUACGCCGAACUCUUUAUCACCUCCAUAAUUGAGAAAUAAAUCCUUAUUACUCCAAGGACAAUUUUGACCGCUAUCUGGUGAUCCACUCCUUGAUCACCUUUGUACCCUCUUGCCAGACAUGUGGCAAGGCACACAUCAGGUGCGGUACAUAGCAUAGCAUACUAUAGAGCCUAUGUCUGAAGCAUAGGGGACGUCCUUUGUCCUUUCUCUCUUUUCUGCCGUGGUCGAGCUUUAACUCUUAACUUCAUACCUUACAACUCAGGCAAGAACUCCUUCUUUGACUGAUCCAUCUUGAACUCCUUCAAGAUCACGUCAAGGUAUGUGCUCAUUUGAAAGUACCAUUAAGCGUUUUGAUCCAUCCUCAUAGAUCUUGAUGCUCAAUGUUCAAGUAGCUUAAUCCAGGUUUUCACUUGAAAAACACUUUUCAAAUAACCCUAUAUGCAUUCCAGAAAUUCUACAUCAUUUCUGAUCAAUAAUAUGUCAAUAACAUAUACUCAUCAGAAAUUCUAUAGUGCUCCCACUCACUUCUUUGGAAAUACAAGUUUCUCAUAAACUUUGUAUAAACCCAAAAUCUUUGAUCAUCUUAUCAAAGUGUACAUUCCAACUCCGAGAUGCGUACUCCAGUCCAUGGAAGGAUCGCUGGAGCUAGCAUACCCUUUAGCAUCCUUAGGAUCGACAAAACCUUUCUAAUUGUAUCACAUACAACCUUUCCUUACGAAAACUGGUAAGGAAACUCGUUUUGACAUCCAUCUGCCCGAUUUCAUAAAUGCAGCUAAUGCUAACAUGAUUCCGAUGGACUUAAGCAUCGCUACGGAUGAGAAAAUCUCAUCGUAGUCAACUCCUUGAACUUGUGACAAUCUCUUCGCCACAAGUCGAGCUUCAUAGACGGUGACAUUACCGUCCACGUCCGUCUUCUUCUUAAAGAUCCAUUUAUCUCAAUGGCUUGCCGAUCAUCGGGCAAGUCCACCAAAGUCCAUGCUUUGUUUUGAUACAUGGAUCCUAUCUCGGAUUUCAUGGCUUCUAACCAUUUAUCGGAAUUUGGGCCCGCCAUCGCUUCUCCAUAGCUCGUAGGUUCAUUGUUGUCUAGCAACAUGACCUUCAAGACAGGAUUACUGUACCACUCUGAAGCAGUACGCAUCCUUGUCACCCUACGAGGUAUGGUAGUGACUUGAUCCGAAGUUUCAUGAUCACUAUCAUAAGCUUCCACUUCAAUUGGUGUAGGUGCCACAGGAACAACUUCCUGUGCCCUGCUACACACUAGUUGUAGUGACGGUUCAAUAACCAUAUCAAGUCUCCACCAUCCUCCCACUCAACUUUUCGAGACAAACUUUUCCUCGAGAAAGGACCCGAUUCAAGAAACAAUCCCUAUUGCUUUCGGAUCUGAAUUAGGAGGUAUACCCAACUGUUUUGGGUGUCCUAUGAAGAUACAUUUUAUCCGCUUUGGGUUUGAGCUUAUCAACCUGAAACUUUUUCACAUAAGCGUUGCAGCCCCAAACCUUUAAGAAAUGACAGCUUAGGUUUCUCUGAACCAUAGUUCAUACGGUGUCAUCUCAAUGGAAUUACGUGGUGCCCUAUUUAAAGUGAGUGCGGUUGUCUCUAAUGCCUAACCCAUGAACGAUAGUGGUAAUUCGAUAAGAGACAUCAUGCUACGCACCAUAUCCAAUAGGGUGCAACUAUGAUGUUCGGACACACCAUCACACUAUGGUGUUCCAGGCGGUAUUAAUUGUGAAACAAUUUCCACAAUGUCUUAAUUGCGUGCCAAAGCUCGUAACUCAGAUACUCAUCUCUGUGAUCAUAUCAUAGACAUUUUAUCCUCUUGUCACAAUGAUCUUCAACUUCACUCUGAAAUUACUUGAACCAUUCAGUAAUUCAGACUUGUGUUUCAUCAAGUAAAUAUACUCAACAUCUACUCGAAUCAUCUGUGAAGUAAGAACAUAACGAUAUUCACUGCAUGCCUCAGCACUCAUUGGACUGCACACAUCACAAUGUGUUACUUCCAACAAGUUGCUAUCUUGUUCCAUCUCACUGAAACGAGGCUUUUCAGUCAUCUUGCCCAUGUGGUAUGAUUUGCAUAUCUCAAGUGAUUCAAAAUCAAGUGAGUCUAAAUGAUCCAUUUGCAUGGAGUUUCUUCAUGCGUAUACACCAAUAGACAUGGUUCGCAUGUCUCAAACUUUUCAAAAACGAGUGAGUCCAAAGAUCCAUCAACAUGGAGCUUCAUCAUGCGUUUUACACCAAUAUGACUUACAUGGCAGUGCCACAAGUAAGUGGUACUAUCAUUACUAUCUUAUAUCCUUUUUGGCAUGAAAAUGUGUAUCACUCCGAUCGAGAUUCAAUAAACCAUUCCUUUUAGGUGCUAGACCAUUGAAGGUAUUAUUCAAAUAAACAGAGUAACCAUUAUUCUCCUUAAAUGAAUAACCGUAUUGCGACAAACAUAAUUCAAUCAUGUCUAUGCUCAACGCAAACACCAAAUAACAAUUAUUUAGGUUUAACACCAAUCUCGAUGGUAGAGGGAGCGAGCGAUGCUUGAUCACAUCAACCUUGGAAACACUUCCAACACAUAUCGUCAGCUCACCUUUAGCUAGUCUCCGUUUAUUCCGUAGCUUUUAUUUCGAGUUACUAACACUUAGCAACCGAACCGGUAUCUAAUACCCUGGUGCUACUAGGAGUACUAGUAAAGUACACAUUAACAUAAUGUAUAUCCAAUAUACUUCUAUCGACCUUGCCAGCCAUCUUAUCUACCAAGUAUCUAGGGUAAUUCUGCUCCAGUGGCUGUUCCCCUUAUUACAGAAGCACUUAGUCUCGGGUUUUGGGUUCAACAUUGGGUUUCUUCACUGGAGCAGCAGCUGAUUUGCCGUUUCAUGAAGUAUCCCUUCUUGCCCUUGCCCUUCUUGAAACUAGUGGUUUCACCAACCAUCAACAAUUGAUGCUCCUUCUUGAUUUCUACUUUCGCGGUGUAAAACAUCGCGAAUACCUCAAGGAUCAUCAUAUGUAUCCCUGAUAUGUUAUAGUUCAUCACGAAGCUCUAGCAGCUUGGUGGCAAUGACUUUGGAGAAACAUCACUAUCUCAUCUGGAAGAUCAACUCCCACUCGAUUCAAGUGAUUGUUGCACUCAGACAAUCUGAGCACAAGCUCAUCGAUUGAGCUUUCUCCCUUAGUUUGCAGGCUAAGAAAAUUGUCGGAGGUCUCAUACCUCUUGACAUGGGCACGAGCCUGAAAUCCCAAUUUCAGACCUCGAAACAUCUCAUAUGUUCCGCGACGUUUCGAAAAUGUCUUUGGUGCCUCUACUCUAAACCAUUUAACUGAACUAUCACGUAGUUAUCAAAACGUGUAUGUCCGAUGUUCGCAACAUCCACAGACGACCUUUGGGGUUCAGCACACUAAGCGGUGCAUUAAGGACAUUAGCUUUCUACUGUCCGCAUAAUUGCUACUGUCAACUUUCAACUAUAUUUUCUCUAGGAACAUAUCUAAACAGUGGAACUAAAGCGCGAGCUUACGACAUAAUUUGCAAAGAUCUUUUGACUAUGUUCAGGAUAAUUAAGUUCAUCUAAUGAACUCCCACUCAGAUAGACAUCCCUCUAGUCAUCUAAGUGAUUACAUGAUCCGAGUCAACUAGGCCGUGUCCGAUCAUCACGUGAGACAGACUAGUCAUCAUCGGUGAACAUCUUCAUGUUGAUCGUAUCUACUAUACGACUCAUGCUCGACCUUUCGGUCUCUUGUGUUCCGAGGCCAUGUCUGUACAUGCUAGGCUCGUCAAGUCAACCUAAGUGUUUCGCGUGUGUAAAUCUGUCUUACACCCGUUGUAUGUGAACGUAAGAAUCCAUCACACCCGAUCAUCACGUGGUGCUUAGAAACGACGAACUUUCGCAACGGUGCACAGUUAGGGGGAACACUUUCUUGAAAUUUUAAUGAGGGAUCAUCUUAUUUACUACCAUCAUUCUAAGCAAAUAAGAUGUAUAAACAUGAUAAACAUCACAUGCAAUCAAAAAGUGACAUGAUAUGGCCAAUAUCAUUUUGCUCCUUUUGAUCUCCAUCUUCGGGGCUCCAUGAUCAUCAUCGUCACCGGCAUGACACCAUGAUCUCCAUCAUCAUGAUCUCCAUCAUCGUGUCUCCAUGAAGUUAUCUCGCCAACUUAUUACUUCUACUACUAUGGCUACCGGUUAGCAAUAAAGUAAAGUAAUUACAUGGCGUUGUUCAAUGACACGCAGGUCAUACAAUAAAUAAAGACAACUCCUAUGGCUCCUGCCGGUUGUCAUACUCAUCGACAUGCAAGUCGUGAUUCCUAUUACAAGAACAUGAUCAAUCUCAUACAUCACAUAUAUUCAUCGCAUUCUUCUUGGCCAUAUCACAUCACAUAGCAUACCCUGCAAAAACAAGUUAGACGUCCUCUAAUUGUUGUUUGCAUGUUUUACGUGGCUGCUAUGGGUUUCUAGCAAGAACGUUUCUUACCUACGCAAAAACCACAACGUGAUAUGUCGAUUGCUAUUUACCCUUCAUAAGGACCCUUUUCAUCGAAUCUGUUCCGACUAAAGUGGGAGAGACUGGCACCCGCUAGCCACCUUAUGCACCAAGUGCAUGUCAGUCGGUGGAACCUGUCUCACGUAAGUGUACGUGUAAGGUCGGUCCGGGCUGCUUCAUCCCACAAUACCGUCGAAACAAGAUUGGACUAGUAACGGUAAGCAUAUUGAACAAGAUCAACGCCCACAACUACUUUGUGUUCUACUCGUGCAAAGAAUCUACGCAAUAGACCUAGCUCAUGAUGCCACUGUUGGGGAACGUAGCAGAAAUUCAAAAUUUUCCUACGAAUCACCAAGAUCUAUCUAUGGAGAAACUAGCAACGAGAGAGAGGGGAGUGCAUCUACAUACCCUUGUAGAUCGCUAAGCGGAAGCGUUCAAGAGAACAGGGUUGAAGGAGUUGUACUCGUCGUGAUCCAAAUCACCGGAGAUCCUAGUGCCGAACGGACGGCACCUCCGCGUUCAACACACGUACAGCCCGGUGACGUCUCCCAUGCCUUGAUCCAGCAAGGAGAGAGGGAGAGGUUGAGGAAGACUCCAUCCAGCAGCAGCACAACGGCGUGGUGGUGGUGGAGGAGCGUGGCAAUCCUGCAGGGCUUCGCCAAGCACCUGCAGGAGAGGAGGAGGUGUCACGGGAGGGAGGGAGGCGCCAGGGCUUCAGGUGCAGCUGCCCUCCCUCCCCUCCACUAUAUAUAGGGGCAAGGGAGAGGAGGAGGGCGCAGCCUUGCCCCUUCCUCCAAGGAAGGGGUGCGGCCAAAGGGGGGAGGAGUCCAUCCUCCCCAAGGCACCUCGGAGGUGCCUUCCCCUUUUAGGACUCUCCCCUCCCCAAGUCUCCUUGGCGCAUGGGCCUCUUGGGGCUGGUGCCCUUGGCCCAUAUAGGCCAAGGCGCACCCCCUACAGCCCAUGUGCCCCCCCCCCCGGGGCAGGUGGACCCCCCCGGUGGACCCCCGGACCCCUUUCGGCACUCCCGGUACAAUACCGAUAAAGUGCGAAACUUUUCCGGCGACCAAAAUAAGACUUCCCAUAUAUAAAUCUUUACCUCCGGACCAUUCCGGAACUCCUUGUGACGUCCGAGAUCUCAUCCGGGACUCCGAACAACAUUCGGUAACCACAUACAAACUUCCUUUAUAACCCUAGCGUCAUCGAACCUUAAGUGUGUAGACCCUACGGGUUUGGGAACCAUGCAGACAUGACCGAGACGUUCUCCGGUCAAUAACCAACAGCGGGAUCUGGAUACCCAUGUUGGCUCCCACAUGUUCCAUGAUGAUCUCAUCGGAUGAACCACAAUGUCAAGGACUCAAUCGAUCCCGUAUACAAUCCCCUUUGUCUAGCGGUAUUGUACUUGCUCGAGAUUCGAUCGUCGGUAUCCCAAUACCUUGUUCAAUCUCGUUACCGGCAAGUCUCUUUACUCGUUCCGUAACACAUCAUCCCGUGAUCAACCCCUUGGUCACAUUGUGCACAUUAUGAUGAUGUCCUACCGAGUGGGCCCAGAGAUACCUCUCCGUUUACACAGAGUGACAAAUCCCAGUCUCGAUUCGUGCCAACCCAACAGACACUUUCGGAGAUACCUGUAGUGCACCUUUAUAGCCACCCAGUUACGUUGUGACGUUUGGUACACCCAAAGCAUUCCUACGGUAUCCGGGAGUUGCACAAUCUCAUGGUCUAAGGAAAUGAUACUUGACAUUAGAAAAGCUUUAGCAUACGAACUACACGAUCCUUGUGCUAGGCUUAGGAUUGGGUCUUGUCCAUCACAUCAUUCUCCUAAUGAUGUGAUCCCGUUAUCAAUGACAUCCAAUGUCCAUGGUCAGGAAACCGUAACCAUCUAUUGAUCAACGAGCUAGUCAAUCAGAGGCUUACUAGGGACAUGGUGUUGUCUAUGUAUCCACACAUGUAUCUGAGUUUCCUAUCAAUACAAUUAUAGCAUGGAUAAUAAAUGAUUAUCAUGAACAAGGAAAUAUAAUAAUAACUAAUUUAUUAUUGCCUCUAGGGCAUAUUUCCAACAAAGUCUUCCCGGGGGCCUCGCAGUCGUCCCUGGCAAGGCCCUUGCCAGGGGUCUUCGUUCUCUGGUCCCCACGUAGACCUACAGGCCAUUAGUCUUCACAAAGUUUUGCAUGCUACUAUGCACGCGUCCCCAAGCCUUGGCCUUGACGUUCUUGAUGAUGUCAGAGCUCUCAACCUCAAGGGUGAUGGCCGUUCUGGUGCUUCAUGGGAUGCCCCGGCAAGGAGCUUGCCGGGGCCACGCAAGCCGCCCCGGCAAGGAUGUUGCUGGGGAGGUCCAGCUUGUCUUCUGCUCUCUGUUCACUGUCUUGAAUGUUGUCUUGGUCGUCUUGUAUCUCUCCUUCCACUGCCCCGCCAAGCCUUCCCGCAGGGUUCGCUACAACUGCCCGUGCAAAAGUAAGGGGUACGGGAAAGGCCCAUACUUUUGUACACCGACACAUCUCGGCGGCGUGGCUCGGCCUUAACAUUGAGAAAAUUGGUUUUGAAAUUCCUGUAAAUCCAAUACUCACCUGAAUAUCAUAAAACUUGGCAUGAUGUUAUGACUUGGCACAAACAAGUUGUGGUAAAAAAAAUUGUCUGAUUUGGGACAAGUUUUGGUAUAAACUUCCCACAAACUGGAGUUUCUCUCAAAAAGCCUCACGGUUCCGAGAUGGAACGUGUCACCACAUUGUGUGAAACAACAUAUGUUGCCUCUUCCCACCUUGAUUUAUUUUAUGGAGGCAGCAUGCAACCGUAGGAGUCAUGAAAUUUUGGAAUUAUUCAGGGUUCGUUUCAACUUUUUAUAUAUUAUUUGAGUUUCUAGGCAUUUAGUAUGCAUAAUUCAAAUUUGAACUACAGGCACACUCCCUAGUGCACCGAACUGGGUUGAAAAAUUAUAUACGUGUCCUUAGGUGAAUGUUUAGGUCCUAUGCAAGAAUUGGUAAUGACUUUCAAACAUCUGGGCGUUGUGGCUCGGCCUAAAACAUUGAGAAACUUCUUCUUCAAAUUCUUGUAAAUCUAAAAUCUCCUAAAAAUCAUGAUACUUAGCAUUGUGUUAUGACACGACACCGACAUGCUAUGGUUAAAAAUUUGUACGAUUUGAGACAAGUUUUGGUCUAAACUUCUCGCAAACCGGAGCUUCUCCCAAAAAGCCUCAUGGUUCCGGGAGGGAACGAAUCACAUCUGUGCGCAAAACGACAUAUGCUUCCUCUUGUAGCCUUGAUUUGUUUUACAGAGUCAACAUCCAACCAUAUGAGUGCCAUGUUAAAAUUUGGAAUUAUUUGGGGUUCGUUUGGCCUUUUUAUUCAUUGAGUUUUUAGCCAUUUAAUGUGCAUACUUCAAAUUUAAACUACAAGCACAUGCUCAGUGCACCAAACCUGGUUGAAAAAUCAUAUGUGUGUCCUCGGUUGUAUGUUUAGGUCCCAUGCAAGAAAUGGGUAUGAAUUUCAUACAUCUGGGCAUCAUCGCUCGGCCUUAAACAUUGUGAAACUUGGUUUUAAAAUUCAUGUAAAUCCAAAAUUCGCCUGAAAAUCAUGAAACAUGGCAUGGAGUUAUGACAUGGCACCAACAUGUCAUGGUAAAAAAAAUGUCCGAUUUCGGACAAGUUUUGGUAAAAAAAAUUCUCACAAACUGGAUCUUGUCCAAAAAAGCCUCACCGAGAGGGAACGUGUCACCUAUGUGUGUGAAACGUCAUACGUUGCCUCUUCCCGCCUUCAUUUAUUUUACAGAGGCAACAUGCAACCGUAGUAUUGUCGUGUUGAAAAUUGGAAUUAUUCAGGGUUCGUUUGGCCUUUUUAUACACUAUUUUAGCUUCUUGGCAUUUAAUGUGCAUAAUUCAAAUUUGAACUACAUGCACAUGCCCUAUUGCACCAAACCAGAUUGAAAAAUCAUAUAAGUGUCCGUGGGUGAAUCUUUAGGUCCCAUGCAAGAAAUGGGAAUGAAUUUGAAACAUCUAGGUGUCAUGGCUUGGCCUUAAGCAUUGAGAAUAUUGGUUUUAAAAUUCCUGUAUUUCCAAAACUUGCCUGAAAAUCAUGACAUGGUGUUAUGACAUGGCACCAACAUGUUGUGGCAAAAAAAUUGUCCGAUUAGGACAAGUUUUGGUAUAAACUUCUCACUAACCGGAGCUUCUCUCAAAAAGCCUCAAGGUUUCGAGAGGGAACGUGUCAACUCUGUGUGCGAGACGACAUACGAUGCCUCUUCCGCCUUGAUUUUACAGAGGCAAGAUGCAACUAUAGGAGUGUCGUGUUAAAAUUUGGAAUUAUUCAGGGUUGAUUUAGCUUUUUAUACAUUAUUUGAGUUUCUAGGCAUUUAAUGUGCAUAAUUUGAAUUAGAAUUACAUGCACAUGCCCUAUGCACGAAACUAGGUUGAAAAAUCAUAUACAUGUCAUUGGGUGAAUGUUUAGAUUCCAUGCAAGAAAUGAGAAUGAAUUUCAAACAUCUUGGCGUCAUGGCUCGGCCUUAAACAUUGAGAAACUUGGUUUUAUAAUUGUUGGAAAUCCAAAACUCGCCUGAAAAUAAUGAAACUUGACAUGGUGUUAUGACCUGGCACCUACAUGUUGUGGUAAAAAAUGGUUCUAUUUGAGACAAGUAUUGGUAUAAACUUCUCACAGACUGGAGCUUCUCUCAAAAAGCCUCAUGGUUCUGAGAGAGAACGUGUCACCUCUGUAUGCGAAACAGUAUACGCUACCUCUUGCCGCCUUGAUUUAUUUUAAAGAGGCAACAUGCAACCAUGCCAAGUUUUAUGAUUUUCAGGGUUCGUUUGGCCUUUUUAUUCUUUAUUUUAGUCUCUUGCCAUUUAAUGUGCAUAUUUAAAAUUUGAACUACAGGCACAUGCCCAGUGCACCAAGCCGGGUUGGAAAAUCAUAUGUGUGUCCUUGGUUGUAUGUUUAGGUCCCAUUCAACAAAUGGGAAUGACUUUCAAACAUCUGGGCUUCGUGGCUCGGCCUUACACAUCGAGAAAUUUCAUUUUAACAUUCCUGUAAAUCCCAAACUCGCCUAAAAAUCAUAAAACUUAGCAUGGUUCUAUGACAGGCACCAACAUGUUGUGGUAACAAAAUUCUACGAGUUGAGACAAGUUUUAUAAUUCUUGUAAAUCCAAAACUCGCAUGAAAAUCAUGAAUGGCAUGAUGUUAUGACAUGGCACAAACAUGCUGUGAUAAAAGAUUUGUCCCGUUUGAGACAAGUUUUGGUAUAAACUUCUCAUAAACCCGAGCUUCUCUCAAAAACCCUCUUGCUUCCGAGAGGGAACGUGUCAAGUCUGUGUGCAAAACGACAUAAGUUACCUCUUCUAGCCUUGAUUUAUUUUACAGAGGCAACAUGCAACCGUAGGAUUGUCGUGUUAAAAUUUAGAAUUAUUCAGGGUUCAUUUGGCCUUUUAAUACACUAUUUGAGUUUCUAGGCAUUUAAUGUGCAUAAUUAAAUUAAAACUACAUGCACAUGCCCCAGUGCACCAAACCGGAUCGAAAUAUCAUAUAUGUGUACUUGGGUGAAUGUUUAGGUCACAUGCAAGAAACAUGAAUGAAUCUCAAACAUCUGGGUGUCUUGGCUUGGCCUUAAACAUUGAGAAAGUUGGUUUAAAAUUUCCUCUAUAUCCAAAGCUCGCCCGAAAAUCAUCAAACUUGGCAUGGUGUUAUGACAUGGCACCAACAUGCUGUGGUAAAAAAUUUACCCGAUUUGGGACAAGUUUUGGUAUAAACUUCUCACAAACCACAACUUCUCUCAAAAAGCCUCGUGGUUCCGAGAGGGAACUUGUCACCUCUGUCUGUUAAAAGACAUACGCUACCUCUUCAUGCCUUGGUUUAUUUUACAGAGGAAACACACUACCAAAGGAGUUUCAUGUUAAAUUUUUGAAUAUUCAGGGGUCGUUCGGCCUUUUUAUACAUUAUUUGAGUUUCUAGGCAUUUAAUGUAUAUAAUUCUAAUUUCAACUACACGCACAUGCCCUAGUGCAUCAAACUGGGUUGAAAAAUCAUAUACGCAUCCUUGGGUGUAUGUUUAGGUCCCAUACAAGAAAUGGGAAGGAAUACCUAACAUCUAGGCGUCGUGGCUCGGCUCAAACAUUGAGAAAGUUGGUUUUGAAAUUCCUGUAAAUCCAAAACUAGCCUAAAAAUCAUGAAACUUGGCAUGGUGUUAUGACAUAGCACCAACAUGUUGUGGUAAAAAAAUCCAGUUUGGGACAAGUUUUGGUAUAAACUUCUCACAAUCUAGAGUUUCACUCAGAAAGCCUCAUGGUUCCAAGAGGGAACGUGUCACCUGUGUGUGCGAAAUGACAUUCGCCCUCUUCCCGCCUUGAUUUAGUUUAUAGAGGCAACAUGGAACUAUAGGAGUGUUGUGCUAAAAUUUGGUAUUAUUCAGGGUUCGUUUGGCGUUUUUAUACAUUAUUUGAUUUUCUAGGCAUUUGAUGUGCAUAAUUCGAAUUACAACUACAGACUCAUUGGCCAGUGCACCAAACUGGGUUGAAAAAUAAUAUACGUGUCCUUGGGUGAAUGUUUAGGUCCCAUGAAAGAAAUGGGAAAUAAUUUCAAACAUGUGGGCAUCAUGGCUUGGCCUUAAACAUUGAGAAACUUUGUUUUAAAAUUUCUAUAAAUCCAAAACUCGCCUGAAAAUCAUGAAACUUGGCAUCGUGUUAUAGCAUUGCACCAACAUGCUGUGGUAAGAAAAUUGGCCGAUUUAGGACAAGUUUUCAUAUAAACUUCUCACAAACUGGAGCUUUUACCAAAAAGCCUCAUGGGUUUGAGAGGGAACGUGUCUCCUCUGUGUGCUAAACGACAUACUCUGCCUCUUCCUACCUUUAUUUAUUCAACAGAGGUGGCAUGCAACUAUAGGAGUGUUGUGUUAAAACUUGGAAUUAUUCAGGGUUCAAUUGGCCAUUUUAUACAUUAUUAGAGUUUAUAGGCAUUUAAUGUGCAUAUUUCAAAUUUGAACUACAGGCACAUGCACCAGUGUACCAAACCAGGUUGAAAAUCAUAUAUGUGUCCUUGGGUGAAUGUUUAGAUCCCAGGCAAGAAAUGGGAAUAAAUUUCAAACAUUUGAGUGUCGUGGCUCGGCCUUAAUCAUUGAGAAACUUGGUUUAAAAAUUCCUGUGAAUCCAAAGCUCGCCUGAAAAUCAUAAAACUUGGCAGUGUUAUGACAUGACACCAACAUGUUGUGGUAAAAAAAUUAUCUGAGUUGAGACAAGUUUUUUUCUAAACUUGUCACAAACUAGAGCUUUUCUAAAAAGCCUAAUGCUUCUGAGAGGGAACGUGUCACCUCUGUGUGGGAAAGGACAUACACUGCCUCUUCCCACGUUUAUUUAUUUUUACAGAGGAAACUUGCAAUGUAGGAUUGUCAUGUUAAAAAUUGCAAUUAUUCAGGGUUCAUUCGACCUUUUAUACAUUAUUUGAGUUUCUAGGCAUUUAAUAUUGUAAUUCAAAUUUGAACUAUAGGCACAUGCCCCAGUGCACCAAACUGGAUUAAAAAAUCAUAUACGUGUGCUUGGGUGAAUGUUUAGGUCCCAUGCAACAAAUGGGAAUGAAUUUCAAACAUCUGGGCGUCAUGGCUCAGCCUUAAACAUUGAGAAACUUGGUUUUAAAAUUCCUAUAAAUCCAAAGUUCGCCUGAAAAUUAUGAAACUUUGCAUGUUGUUAUGACAUGGCACCAACAUGAUGUGGUAAAAAAAUUGUCCAGUUUGGGACAAGUUUUGGUAUAAACUUCUCACAAACCGGAGUUUCUCUCAAAAAGCCUCAUGGUUCUGAAAGGGAACAUGUCACCUCUAUGUGCGAAACAACAUACACUACCUCUUCACGCCUUGAUUUACUUAACAGAGGCAACAUACAACCAUAGGUGUGUGAUGUUAAAAUUUGGAAUUAUACAGGGGUCGUCCGACCUUUUUACACAUUAUUUGAGUUUCUAGGCAUUUAAUGUUCAUAAUUCAAAUUUGAACUACACGCGCAUGUCCUAGUGCACCAAACCGGGUUGAAAAAUCAUAUAUGUGUCCUUGUAUGAAUGUUUACAUCUCAUGCAAGAAAUGGGAAUGAAUUUCAAACAUUUGGGCGUCGUGGCUCGGCCUUAAACACUAAGAAACUUGGUUUCUAGUUCCUGUAAAUCCAAAACCCUCCUAAAAAUCAUGAAAUUUGGCAUGGUGUUAUGACAUGGCACAAUAAUGAGGUGGUAAAAAAUUUAUAUGAUUUGAGACAAGUUUUGGUAUAAACUUCUCACUAACCGGAGCUUCCCUCAAAAAGCCUCAUGGUUCCGAGAGGGAACAUGACACCUCUGAGUGUGAAACGACAUGCGUUGCUUGUUACCACCUUUAUUUAUUUUACAUAGGCAACAUGCAACCAAAUGAGUGUCACCUUAAAAUUUUGAAUUAUCGAAGGUUUGUUUGGCCUUUUUAUUCAUUAUUUGAGUUUCUAGUCAUUUAACGUGCAUAAUUCAAAUUUGAACUAUAGGCACAUGCCCUGUACACCAAACCAAAAAUCAUAUACGUGUACUUGGGUGUAUGUUUAGGUCCCAUGCAAGAAUUGGAAACGAAUUUCAAACAUCUGAGCAUCGUGGCAAGGCAUUAAACAUCAAGAAACUUGGUUUUAAAAUUCUGUGAAUCCAAAACUCACCGGAAAAACAUAAACUUGGCAUGUUGUUAUGACAUAUGGCACCAACAUGCUCUGGUAAAAAAGUUGCCCGAGUUGAGACAUGUUUUAUAUAAAAUUCUCACAAACCAGAGCUUCUCUCAAAAUGCCUAAUGGUUCUGAGAGGGAUUGUGUCACCUCUGUGUGCGAAACAACAUACGGUGCCUCUUACGACCUUGAUUUAUUUUGCAGAGGCAACAUGCAACCGUAGGACUGUCGUGUUAAAUUUUAGAAUUAUGCAGGGUUCGUUUGGCCUUUUCAUACAUCAUUUAGUUUCUAGGCUUUUAAUGUCUAUAAUUCUAUUUUCAAGCAAUGCACAUCCCAAGUGCACCAAACCGGGUUGAAAAAUUCAUAUGCGUGUCCUUGGGUGAAUCUUUAGGUCCCAUGCAAGAAAUGGGGAUGAAUUUCAAACAUCUCAGCGUCAUAGCUCGGUCUUAAAGAUUGAGAAAGUUGGUUUUAAAAUUGUUGGCAAUCGCAAACUUGCCUGAAAAUCAUGAAACCUGACAUGGUGUUAUGACAUGGCACCAACAUGUUGUGGUGAAAAAAUUAUCCGAUUUGGGACAAGUUUUGGUAUAAACAUCUCAUGAACCGGAGCUUCUCCCAAAAAGCCUUAUACUUCCGAGAGGGAACGUGUCACCUCUGUGUGCGAAAGGACAUAUGCCACCUCUUCAUGCCUUGAUUUAUUUUACAGAGGCAACAUACAACCACAUGAGUGUCAUGUUAAAAUUUGCAAAAAUUCAGGUGUCGUUCGGCCUUUUUAAACAUUAUUUGAGUUUCUAGGCAUUUAAUAUGCAUAAUUCCAAUUAGAACUACACGCACAUGCCCUAGGGCACCAAAACGGGUUGAAGAAUCAUAUAUGUGUCCUUGGGUAUAUGUUUAAGUCCCAUGCAAGAAAUCUGAAUGAAUUUCUAAUAUGUGGGCAUCGUGGCUCGGCCUUAAACAUUGAGAAACUUGAUUUUGAAAUUCCUGUAAAUCCAAAACAUGCCGAAAAUUCAUUAAACUUGGCAUGGUGUUAUGACAUGGCACCAACAUGUUGUGGUAAAAAAAUAGUUUGAUUUGGGAGAAGUUUUCAUACAAACUUCUCAGAAACUAGAGUUUCUCUCAAAAAGUCGCAUGGUUCCAAGAAGGAAAUCGUCACCGUUGUGUGCAAAACGGCAUAUACUACUUCUUCCCACCUUGAUUUAUUUUACACAACCAGCUUGCAACUAUAGAAGUGUCAUGUUAAAAUUUGUAACUAUUCAGGGUCAUUCAGCCUUUUUAAGCAUUAUUUAAGUUUCUAGGCAUUUAAUGUGUAUAAUUCAAAUUUGAGCUACAUGCACAUGCCGAGUGCAUCAAACCGGGUUGAGAAAUCAUAUACAUGUCCUUGGGUGAAUGUUUAGGUCCCAUGCAAGAAAUAGGAAUGAAUUUCAAGCAUCUGGGCGCCAUGGCGCUGCCUUAAACAUUGAGAAACUUGGUUUUAAAAUUCCUGUAAAUCCAAAACUCUCCUAAAUCAUGAAACUUUGCAUGGCGUUUUUAAAUGGCACUAACGUGGCUAGUGACUGCGUCGGUAUUUCCCCAAAUAGGAAGGGAUGAUGCAACACAGCUACUGUAAGUAUUUCCCUCAGUUGUGAAACCAAGGUAUCAAUCUGGUAGGAGAACCAGGCGACAUUAUGUAAAUGGUACCUCCACACAAAGAACAAAUACUUGCAACCCGACGCGUAAGAGGGCUUGUCAAUCCCUCCUCGGUAAAAAGAUAGAAAAUUUGUAUGUGUUUGGAUAAAUAGAUCUGAAUAAAACACGGAAUAAAAAAAGUAAAGAAAAAGUGCAGCAAGGUAUUUUUGGGGUUUUGGAAUAAUAGAUCUGAAAACAAAUAUGGCAAAAGAUAGAUCGGUAAGAAAAUAUGAUAAAAGAUAGACCCGGGGCCGUACAUUUCACUAGUGGCUUCUCUCGACAAAAUUGCAUACGGUGGGUAAACAAAUUACUGUUGGUAAAUUGAUAGAAGAACAAAUAAUUAUGACGAUAUCCAAGGCAAUGAUCAUGAAAAUAGGCAUCACGUCCAAGAUUAGUAGACCGACUCAUGCCUGCAGCCACUACUGUUACUCCACACAUCGACCACUAUGCAGCAUGCAUCUAGUGUAUUAAGUUCAUGAAGAAACGAAGUAAUGCAAUAAGAACGAUGACAUGAUAUAGACAAGAUCUAUUCAUGUUGGAAUAGAUCCCAUCUUUUUAUCCUUAAUAGCAACGGUACAUGUGUGACUCGCUACCCCUUCUGUCACUAGGUGAGGACACCGCAAGAUCAAAACCAUCACAAAGCACCUCUUCCCAUUACAAGAAAAAUCUAUCUAGUUUCCCUAACUAAACCAAAGAUUCGGAGGAGAAAUACAAGGCUAUAAAUAAUUAUGCAUAUAAGAGAUCAACGAAGGCUCAAAUAAUAUUCAUGGACCAAAAUCUGAUCAUAAACUCGAACUUCAUUGGAUCCCAACAAACACACCGCAAAAUGUCAUUACAUCAAAUAGAUCUCCAAGGGACCAUUGUAUUGAGAAUCAAAAAGAGAGAAGAAUCCAUCUAGCUACUGCCUACGGACACAUAGGUCUAUGGUGAACUACUCACACAUCAUCGGAGGAGAACCAAUGAGGAUGAUGAACCCCCUCCGUUAUCGUGUUCCCCUCCAGCAAGGUGCUGGAAUAGGGCUCUAGAUUACAUUUGUGGUUCUGGAACUUGCGGCGGCUGGGAUUGUUUCAUCGACUCUCCUAGGGUUUUUGGGAUAUUCAGGUAUUUUUAGAGCUGAGAUGCGGUGGAGGAGACCCCCGUGAGCCCCAUAACCCAUCAGGGCACGCUAGGGGCCUCUGGCAUGCCCUGGUGUCUUGUGGGCCCCAUGGUCUCCCAUAGGUGCUUCCUUGGCUCCCAAGUUGUCUUCCGGUCCAAAAACAAUCUGCAAAAAGUUUCGCUGCGUUUGGACUCCGUUUGAUAGGGAUAUUCUGCGAAAUAAAAAACAAGAAAAAAAUAGCAUCUAGCACUAGGCACUAUGUCAAUAGUUUCGUCCCAAAAAAUGAUAUAAAGUUGCUAUAUAAUGAUUGUAAAACAUCCAAGAAUGAUAAUAUAACAUCAUGGAACAAUCAAAAAUUAUAGAUACAUUGGAUACGUAUCAGCUUCCCCAAGCUUAUUUCCUGCUCGUCCUCGAGUAGGUAAAUGAUAAAACCAGAAUUUUUGAUGUGGAAUAAUGCCUAACAUGUUCAUCACAUAUUCUUUUCUUUUGUAACAUGGACAUUUGGACUUUUAGAUGGUUCAGAGCAAUAGUCUAUACUUGACAUGAAGACUUCAAUACUCAAGCAUAUCAACAAGCAACCAUGUCUUUCAAAAUAUCAACACUAAAGAAAGUUAUCAUUAGCACAUCAUGCUCAGUCAUUGAUCCACUCACGAAACACACUCGAAUAUUAGCUACAUCCAAUGCUCAAAUAUGAUCAUAGUGCUCCCUAGUUGGUGCUUUAUAAGAGAAGAUGGAGACUCAAAAAAAAUUGCACAAAAGUAAAUAGAUAGGCCCUUCGCAGAGGGAAGCAGAAAUUUGUAGAGGCGCUAGAGCUCAAAGCUUAAAUUGAAAGACAAAAAAAUUUGGGAGGCAUACUUUUCCCGUCAACGAAAACGACCGAGUAGUUCCCAAUACUUUCCAUGCUAGAUACAUCAUCGGAGGUUCCCAAACAUAAAAUAAAGUUUAUUCCUUUUUCCACCAAUCUUUCACAAUCCGUGGCUAGCCGUAUCCAUGGGUGCCUUCUGAUGUCUAUUAUGCAACCUUCUUCUUGUAGACUCAUGUUGGGCCUCCAAGCACGGAGUUUCGUAGGGCAGUACAAAUUUCCCUCGAGUGGAUGACCUAAGGUUUAUCAUUCGUGGGAUGCGUAGGAUGAAGAUGGUCUCUCUCGAACAACCCUGCAACCAAAUAACAAAAGAGUAUCUUGUGUCCCCAACACACCCAAUACAAUGGUAAAUUGUAUAGGUGCACUAGUUCAGCGAAGAGAUGGUGAUACAAGUGUAAUAUGGAUGGUAGGUAUGGGUUUGUAUAAUCUGAAAAUAUAAAAACAGCAAGGUAGCAAAUAGUAGAAGUGAGCAAAAACGGUAUUGCAAUGCUUGGAAACAAGGCCUAGGGUUCAUACUUUCACUAGUGCAAGUUCUCUCAACAAUGAUAACAUAAUUAGAUCAUAUAACAAUCCCUCAACAUGCAACGAAGAAUCACUCCAAAGCUCCUAUCGCGGAGAACAUAAGAUGAAAUUGCUUGUAGGGUACGAAACCACCUCAAAGUUAUUCAUUCCGAUCAAUCCAUUGAGCCAUUCCUAUAAGUGUCACAAACAACCCUAGAGUUCGUAGUAAAAUAACACCAUAUGACACACAUCAAUCAAACCUAAUCUCACCUAGAUACUCCAAUGUCACCACAAGUAUCCGUGGAUCAAUUAUACGAUAUGCAUCAAACAACUUCAGAUUCAUAAUAUUCAAUCCAACAUAAAGAACCUCAAAUAGUGACCCAAGAUUCCUACCGGAGAAACAAGGACGAAAACGUGGAUCAACCCCUAUGCAUAGAUUACCCCAAUGCCACCUCGGGAAUCCGCGAGUUGAGUGCCAAAACAUACAUCAAGUGAAUCAAUAGAACAUCCCAUUGUCACCACGGGUAUCCCAUGCAAGACAUACAUCAAGUGUUCUCAAAUCCAUAAUAGUAUGCAAUCCAAUAAUAGUGACACCACAAAGGUAAAACUCAAUUCAUCACAAGAAGGUAGAGGGGGAAGAACGCCAUAAGAUCCAACUAUAGUAGCAAAGCUCGCGGUACAUCAAGAUUGGGCCAAAUCAAGAACACGAGAGAGAGAGAUCAAACACAUAGCUACUGGUACAUAUCCUCAGCCAUGAGGGUGAACUACUCCCUCCUCGACAUCGUGAGCAUCGGGAUGAUGAAGAUGGCCACCGGUGAUGGUUUCCCCCUCUAGCAGGGUGACGGAACGGGCCCCCGAUUGGCUUUAAGUGGCUACAGAGGCUUGCGGUGGCGGAACUCCCGAUCUAGGUUUCUUUCCGGGGGUUUCUGUUUUUAUAGGAGUUUUUGGCGUUGGGGACAAGUCAGGGGGGUCCAAGAGGCGACGACAAGGCAGGGGCGUGUCCUAAGGGGCUUCCUCCACCCUUGUGGAUGCCUCGUGGCUCUUCUGGUCCAUCUCCGAUACUCUAUGGGCUUCUUCUUCUCCAUAAAAAAUCGUCGUAAAGUUUUAGCUCGUUUGGACUCCGUUUGAUAUUCGUUUUCUGCGAAGCUCAAAAACAAGGAAAAAUAGAAUCUGGUGAUGGGCUCUAGGUUAAUAAGUUAGUCCAAAAAAUAAUAUAAAAUAGCAUAUUAAUGCAUAUAAAACAUCCAAAACAGAUAAUAUAAUAGCAUGGAACAAUCAAAAAUUAUAGAUACGUUGGAGACAUAUCACCUUUCAUACUAACACUUUCCAAGGACAUUAUUAUUUAACAACAUAAACUAUUUUUUUUCAUUUCAGGACUGGGCAUCCCUAUUACUAUCGCACUCUCAUGCAAUGACAAGUGAAUAAACACACAUCUUGAGAAUAACAUAUCUAGCAUGGAAAAUAUUGGCCACCCCUACUACUUCAUGAGCGGUACGGGCAUACAAAAAGGAAAUUCAUUUUGAAAAUUAAAGAUGGCACAUACAAAUUUACUUAGAACGGCACGGAAAUACCGCAUAUAGGUAGGUAUAGUGGACUCAUAUGGAAAGACUAGGUUGAAAGAUUUUGGAUGCACAAGUAGUAUUUCUACUUAGUACAAAUGCAGGCUAGCAAAAAGAUUGAGAAGCAACCAACCAAGAAACAAAAAUUCACAUAAACGAGCAUUGAACAUAUAUAACUAUCACUAAAUAAUGCACGACAAGUAGGAUGUAAUUUCAUUGCAUAACUAUUGACUUUCGUGCUUGCAUAGGGAAUCACAAACCUUAACACCAAUAUUCUCACUAAAGCAUAAUUACUCACCAACAUGACUCAAAUAUCACAUCUCAAAACUAUUACAAAGAAUCAAGUUUAUUUUGCCCAAUGAUCUUCAUGAAAGUUCUUAUUAUAUCCCUCUUGAAUAUCUAUCACUUUUGGACUAAUUUCAUAUGUUACAAUUACUUUUGAUAAGAUCAUACAAAUUUAAGUGAAGAACAUGAGCAUAAAAAAUUUCAUCACUCAAAAUAAUUUAAGUGAAGCAUGAGAUAAUUUCUUCUAAAAUUUACUAUCUCUCAAAUAAAUCUAAGUGAAGCAUGAAAUUAUUUCUUCAAAAAUAUUAAAGCACACCGUGCUAAAAAACAUUUAGGUGAAGCACUAGAGCAAUUUCAUAGCUCAAAAAAUUUAAGUGAAGCACAUAGAGCAAUUCUAACAAAUCAUAGCAUAAUGGCUCUCUCAAAUAGGUGUGUCCAACAUGGAUAAUUGUGACAAAUAACAAGCAAAACAAGCAAUGACUCAUAUAAUACAAGAUGCUCGAAGCAAAACUCAUGAUAUGUGACGAAUAAAAAUAUAGCUCCAAGUAAAAUUACCGAUGGUUAUUAGAAGAAAGAAGGGAUGCCUUCCGGGGCAUCCCCAAGCUUAGUUGCUUGGUUCUCCUUGAAUAUAAACUUGGGGUGCCAUGGGCAUCCCCAAGCUUAGGCUCUUCUCCCUUCGUAUUCCUUCAUCCAUCGUUAUCUCACCUAAAACUUGAAAACUUCAAUCACACAAAACUUAACAAAAUCUUCGUGAGAUCCGUUUGUAUAAUAAAACAAAUCACUACUUAAGUACUAUUGCAAACCCAUUCAUAUUUUGUUAUUGUGUUAUACCUAUUGUAUUCCAACUUCACCAUGGAUUAUACCCCUCGACACAAUCCAUAGAUUCGUCAAAAUAAGCACACAAUGCAAAGAAAACCGAAUCUGUCAAAAACAGAACAAUCUAUAGUAAUCUGGACUUUGUCCAUCCUUUUGUAACUCCAAAAGUUCUGAACAAUUAGGACAACGUAGGCAAUUUGUAUCUCAAUAUUGUGUAAAAAAAUUCAGAAUUUUAUCACGCUCUAGCAAAGCAGAUCAAUUCUGCUACUGGACGCAAAAUUUUCUAUUUUCUAAUAAGAUCAAAGCAACUAUCACCCAUCAUGAUCCUAAAGGCUUUACUUUUCACAAACACUAACUAAAACAUAUAAACACAAUCAUAACAGUAGCAUAAUUGUGUGAACACAAAAAAAAGGAAAUCAAGAAUUUCGAAGAUAAAUAUUGGGUUGCCUCUCAACAAGCUCUUUGUAGCCAUUAUGAUAUGCUUAAGAUUCUAAUGAUGGCCACAAGAAAAAUAAGAUUUGGAGCACAAAGAGAGCAUCAUAAAACUUGCGAAAAACACAUUUAAGUCUAACAUACUUCCUAUGCAUAGGCAUUUUAGGAGCAAACAAAUUAUCAAGGAAAGCAAAAACUAGCUUAUGCAAAGGAGAAGGAUAAAGCAUUGACGAUCUCAACAUAACGAGAGGUAAUUUAGUAACAUGGAAAUUUCUACAACCAUAUUUCCCCCUCUAAUAAUAAUUACAUGUAGGAUCAUAAUUAAAUUCGAAAAUAUAGCUAUCAUAUAAAAUUUUCUCUUCAUGAUCCACAUGCAUAAAAGUUUUAUAAUCUUCCAAGAUAGUGGGAUUAACCUCAACUAAAGUCAUGACCUCUCCAAACCCACUUUUAUCAAAAAAUUCAUAAGAUUGAUCAUUCUACAAAGUAGUGGGAUAAUUAUUACCUAGAGUUGACACUCUUCCAAACCCACUUUCAAUACUAUUACAAACACUAUUAUCAAUAUCAUAUUCAUCAUGAGGCUUAAAUAAUUUUUGAGAUCAUAAGAAGAAUCACCCCAAUCAUGAUUAUUACAAUAAGUAGUGGAUAUAGCAGAAUUAGCAUCCCCAAGCUUGGGGUCUAGCAUAUUAUUAGCACGGUUGACAUUAACAGAAUUUUUACUAACAUCAUUUCAAUCAUGCUUUUCAUUCAAGGAGUUAUCGUGGAUCACUUUAUAAACAUCUUCUGUUAACACUUCAUCACAAAUUUCAGACUCACAAAUCUCAAGCAAAACUUCGUAAAGAUAAUCUAGUGAACUCAUGUGACGCCCGGAUAAUUAAGCUACAGUAAUCCUCCAUUAAUGGUGCCACAUCAUCACAUUACUGUCGCUAAUCCUCAGUUGAUCCAAAUCACUGUUCAUAUUCAAACUCAAAUUUAAAGUCAAAAUUCAAAUUUGCCAAACAUGAAAACUAAAAUGUUCAAAGUGUGGCAAAUAAUCCCUGGGUAUUUGUCAUGAUUGGAACCAACCUCUUUUGGAUUUUGCAAGUGCCCCUAGAAAUUAUUUAGUGGUCCGACAUCAUAUUAAAUGACCUUUUCAAUCUCUAAAAAUGCUUGAACAAUUCCUUUGGCCCUGAAACUUUUUAGGCAACACCACAAUAUUGUUCCUGAACUAUUUGCUAAGUUUCACACUCAACAAAAAUCAUUUGAUGCCUUGUUUCUAUCCAAAACUGUAGCUAUCCUUUUGAUAGAAAAUAAAAGAAAUAAAAUUAAAGAAAAGGAACCCCCCCUUUCCCCACCGGGCCUCAACNNNNNNNNNNNNNNNNNNNNNNNNNNNNNNNNNNNNNNNNNNNNNNNNNNNNNNNNNNNNNNNNNNNNNNNNNNNNNNNNNNNNNNNNNNNNNNNNNNNNNNNNNNNNNNNNNNNNNNNNNNNNNNNNNNNNNNNNNNNNNNNNNNNNNNNNNNNNNNNNNNNNNNNNNNNNNNNNNNNNNNNNNNNNNNNNNNNNNNNNNNNNNNNNNNNNNNNNNNNNNNNNNNNNNNNNNNNNNNNNNNNNNNNNNNNNNNNNNNNNNNNNNNNNNNNNNNNNNNNNNNNNNNNNNNNNNNNNNNNNNNNNNNNNNNNNNNNNNNNNNNNNNNNNNNNNNNNNNNNNNNNNNNNNNNNNNNNNNNNNNNNNNNNNNNNNNNNNNNNNNNNNNNNNNNNNNNNNNNNNNNNNNNNNNNNNNNNNNNNNNNNNNNNNNNNNNNNNNNNNNNNNNNNNNNNNNNNNNNNNNNNNNNNNNNNNNNNNNNNNNNNNNNNNNNNNNNNNNNNNNNNNNNNNNNNNNNNNNNNNNNNNNNNNCGACGCCCCUUGUCACGACCCCGGUGGCGCCGACGCUGUUCGACCCCGCCAGACCCCCGCUGAAUGCCUCCCCACUCCUGCCACGACGCCAGCGCCCCUCGCGAGGCCACCUCACCGCCGGACCUCAUCGUCCUCGUCCUCCUCCCCAUUCCUGGAUCUGGAAGGACCCCCGACGCCGCCACCCGCCGCCUCGAUGCCCCGUCGCCGGAAGCGCAACUCCGGCCCCUCCCCGAGCAUGCCAUUGCACAUCUACACGGCCGGUGAGCCCUCCCGUCUAUUUCCCCUCGAACCCUCAGCUCGCCGUCGUGUUCACGUGACUGCGUCCGGGCGCCGCGCUCCUAAUGCCCCGGCAGCGCCCUGACCUCCCCUAUGAGCUCUCGCGGCUGCUCCCCCUCUCCUCCUCCUCGAUUCACCGGCUUAGGCUGUCGUCCACGCCGCCCAUUCUUCUGACCAAAGCCGUAGUCGCCGUGCGCCCUCGUCGCGGUCGUCGCGACCGUUGACGCGCCCCCAUGCGCCUGUGGCCCCACUUGUCUGUGCACCGGCUUUGCCUGGGCUGCGCCCCGUGCGUGCGCCCGCCCCACCGAUGAUGCUGCCUGCUGCUGCCAUGCGCGGCUGCCACUACUGCCGCUCCUCCUCUUCUAUUGCUGCCGCUGCUAGCCACGGCUGUCACCAGCGCUCGCCGCCGCUGGUCGCUGCUGGUCUUGGCCGCUGGCCUCCGGUGCCCGUGUGUGCCCUGCCAGAGAGGUUGGGCUGGCCCUAUGACAUGUGGGGCCGGCCGGCCAGUUAUUUUAACUUAGGCCUAACCCCCCACCAAUCAUAUUAGUUAGGCCAAUAUGACUACGAUUUAAAAUGUUAAACUGUCCCUGACAUAUGGACCCGACCACUUAAUUAACCCUCUGUCUAAAAUAGUCCACUAGUUAAAACUACUGACUAUGACAUGUGGACCCAGCACACUUUCCUUUUGAAUAAGGUUGACUGGGUCAGCUGCUCACUCAGCAGUGUGACCCAAUUGUCAGCCACACUUUCACAUCUGUGGGCACACUCUUUGUGUACCCAUAGCAAUUACACUUAAUAUAUUUUCGAAUUAAAAUAAAUCCCGUAAUUUUCAGAAAAUUGUUUAAACCUUUGAAAAUUGUUAUAAAAUAAACCGUAGGUCAGAUGAAAAAGUUUUAUACAUGAAAGUUGCUCAGAAAAAUCCAACGAAUCCGGAUACGCGGUCCGUUUAUCUGUCAGAUGCGUCUAACUAUCUGAACAUGGAACGUUCCCCCUCCGGUCAUUUGUCUGACACAGGUCCGGAACCGGGAAAACAUUCCCGGUUGAAUUCCCCCUUCACCUAUAUCGUGUAGCCAUACGUUAGGUCACACCCGGCACAUCAUAUUGCCAUGUUAUGCUUUGUGAUGCUAUGUUUGGUUUAUAUCUAUUGUUUCUUCCUCCUCAUCUCUCCGGUAGACCCCGAGACCGAUGCAGCCCCUGUGAUCGACUACGUCGACGACGACACUUCUUCCUUUUCAACAGAGCUUCCACGCAAGCCCCCCCCCCCUUUGAUCAUCCCGAUAUCGCCCAUUCUAUUCUCUCAUGCUUGCAUUAGAUUUUGCUACUAUUAUUGUUUGCUCCUAUUCUGAUGCAUAGCCUGCUUUUGUAACCUGCUUCUUGUUAUCUUACCUGCUUAUCCUAAACUGCCUAGAAUAGGUUGGUUAGUGAUCCAUCAGUGACCCCCCACCUUGUCCUUGUUGCCCCUGCUUCAUCAUCGAAGACCCGAUCAACAGGAUCGAAGACCAGGCCCCAGCACCGCACAUCACUUCCCCUUAGUUGCUCGACACUACUGGGUUACUGUCGAGUACUGAGGGUGAGACCUCAUCAGCACUUCUGAUGUUAACCCGAUAGUGUAGUUAUUCAGUCGUGGUCAUCGAGGGUGAUUCCGCCUUAACCACUUCCGAUACAACUCUGUCGUGCAACCCCUCAAGUGUGAACCUCGAGGGUGGAUCCUCUUACGUUCACCUUGAUGAUUAAUCGAGUGAAAUCCAUCAAGGGUGACUCCUCAGGUUUCCCCCUUGGUGUUAGACACAAGGUUACUAUGGUUACUAUGAAUUUACACUGAACCAUGUUACUAAAGACGGGUCGGCCCUGAGGGGUACCCACGCGAGCUUAAUUGCGAGUGAUGUGGAGUCGGGUUGACCUGGAAGGUGCCUACGAGAUAAUUACGAGGCGUGACCAGGCAUUCUCAGCCCUUGCCGCAAGUCCUCGAGAUGGGGCGACGGGGUCACAUCUUUCGUGAGUCUCUGCUUGUUACCGCGUGUUCCUAAUCCACUACGAUUUGGAUAUUUGAUCCGAGGGGCCUCUGGCUUGAUAGCACUAACCAUCACGUGGGCAUAGUAUGGGUGUUCUAGGUCGUAUGCAUCAGUCGAACUUUAAUAGACGUCAGCGACUGAGCAGUGCGUGCGGAGUUAAACUGCGUAAGCACCUGCCUUUUUAAUAAGGUAGCUAGGUCUGCUCACCGGCCGCGUUCGCAACGUGCAGGAGUUCCCGGGGUGAUGGCCCAUGACCCCUGUGGCCAUAGGUUUAGUCGGGUGUGCUGACCUCUCUAUUAAGCCUAGGCCGGGUUGCGGCGUAUUGUUUGGCCGAGGCCAGGCAUGACCCAGGAAAGUGUGUCCGGCCGGAGUUAAUCGAGCGUGGUGGGUAAGUUGGUGCACCCCUGCAGGGAAGAAAACAUCUAUCGACAGACUGACCUACGGUAACGAACACUUGGAGUUGUCUCGCGAUCGAUACAACUAGAACUGGAUACUUGUGAUGAGAAAUGGAUUGUGAUGAGAAAUGGAUAAUAUGGCUCUGCGAUUGCUUUCUCGCAAGGAGUCGAGAAAGGAUCUCUAGCCGAGGUUGAUAACACUACUGCUACUUUACUUUAUGCUACUCUUAUCUCUUUUGAUGUUGCAAGAUGCUUGGAGCUGCUUGAAGAUGCUAGUCUUCGAUAGGCUAGGCUUUCCCCUUCUUUUCUGACAUUCUGCAGUUCAGUCCACAUAUACAACCCAUUUCAUUGAUAAUAUAUAGUGUAGGUCCUUGCUUGCGAGUACUUUGGAUGAGUACUCAUGGUUGCUUUGCUCCCCUUUUUCCACCUCUUUCCAUUCUUCUCAAAUGCUGCAACCAGAUGGUGGAGCCCAGGAUCUAGAAGCCACCGCCGACGACUACUACUACCCCGAGGGUGCCUACUACCACGUGACGGACGCCGAUGACCAGGAGUAGUUAGGAGGCUCUCAGGCAGGAGGCCUUGCCUUUUCGAUCGAUGUUGCUUUCUGUGCUAGCCUUCUUAAGGCAGACUUGUUUAACUUAUGUCUGUACUCAGAUAUUGUUGCUUCCGCUGACUCGUUUGUAUUCGAGCUUAUGUAUUCGAGACCUCGAGGCCCCUGGCUUGUAAUAUAAAGCCUGUAUUAUUUUAAUUUGUGUCUAGAGUUGUGUUAUGAUAUCUUCCCGUGAGUCCCUGAUCUUGAUCGUACACAUUUGCGUGUAUGAUUAGUGUAUUAUUCAAUCGGGGACGUCACAAGUUGGUAUCAGAGCCGACUGCCUGUAGGUAGCCCCUUUCCAACUCCUUGGCCGAAGUUGAGUCUAGUCAUCCAAAACUGUUUUACUAACUUGGCUGUGUGGCUUACGGGCCCACGUCGCUGAUGGGUGGUACUAGGAUCUUUUAUUCCUCGUCUAUACUCUGGGAUUCUGAUCUCUCUUCUAUUUGGGUUAAACGUUUUACUAACUUUGACAUUAGGUUCUCGUACCCACUUCCUCCCGGAGAGCCCCGACAUUACGGAUGAUCGCUUGCUUCGCCAGAAGAUUCUACAGAUACUCCUUGAUAUUUCUCGAGACCCUGUGCCCACUGCCUUGCAGUUUCUGACCAUAGAUAAUCCCUGUGAAUAACAUCCUUGCCGCUUGUACCUUCAUACCCAGUUGCUCAUAUUAUUAGAAGAUGAACUCUCCGUUGUUUCGAGAAUCCCCUGUUCCUUCUGCUUAGCAGCUUCUUUUCGCACUGCAGAUAAUUCACUUAACCGGGGUUCGUUCGUCCCCAGUUGUUCUUAUGCUUUCCAAAAUACCUGAAAAUGCUAAUCUGAUCGUUCAAAAUCCUCUGCAGCCCAUUGCUCUUGAUUCUCCUUGCCUGCUUGCAUUAGGAUUAAUUCCAUAUGUCUAGCAAUAUUCUUUAAAAUCCUUGGUGAUUGUCAUUUUGUUCCUAUGGAUUCUAAGUGUGUACGAAUACUCGCAAUCAUCGAUUGGUCGUUAGAAAUUUUCUUCGCGGCUCGGACAUCGUUCCAAAUAUAAGUUAGUUCUUGCCCAAUCAAGAUUCGAUCGGUGUGCCUCUAAGUCUGUUCAAUCCAUCCAGCUUUGAUAAGAACAUCUGAUUCUGAUACACCGAUCUAGAAAUCAAAAUUUUCUUUGUAUCUAAGCAUCGAAUUAUUCAGCUAUUUCUACAAUCCGAUGCCUUUGCAUUAUUCUUCUUCUGGUGGAGUACCGAUGCUCACACCAGAUCCUUUGUAGACCGUCAGAUCCUUUGUUGGAUUAUUAUCCGACUGCCCAUCAUAUUCAAUCACCUUGUGAGUUCUUCCUUGAUACAUAAUGCCUUUGGUAAAUUGUAUCCUCUCCUUCUGUCAACCAUGCUCUACCUUCGAGCUUGUGUUAUUUACUGUUUAAGUUUGUGGUAUAUGUUCCUAAGAUGCUCCUAUGGGUUGAACCUAUGCCUUCUGUAAUGAACCCGAGAGUCCUCACAAGUCAUACCCUUCUGGUGUUUUGCCAGAUCUAAUUUCAACACUACAACAUCAUCAAAAGUGAGAAGUGAAUGGAAGGUUAUGCAUUCAAGAAGUGGGAGUCAACCUCGAACAUUGUGUUCAUGCCCAUGGACCCGAUGUAGAGCUUAUCAUGGAAGCUGCUCGUAAAAAUAAUAAUCUCUUGUUAUAAAUUCAGCAUGUAUUUUGCUCUGAUCCUUUGCAAUCGUGGUUCCGACCAUGAUUGUUCUUCUUUGAUCUCAUUUCGCGGACAAGCUAAAGCACUUGUCUUCUGCGAAUCGAUAUAACUGUCCAACCUCUAUAAUGAACUACCUCGAGCAUUACCCCCCCUACUAUCUCAAGAAUAUCAAAGAACUAUGUUGCUUACUAUGAGUCUUCAUCUAGUAUUGCUUCUCACCAAUUUCAGAUUUCCCUCGGGUUCUGAGUUAUUAGUCACUCGAGAACGCCGGUAAGUGAAUCGAUUCCGCACUUUGAUUCUAUAACUCUAAGUAAUUUUCGUUGCUUACGAGUUUAAUAAUCCUUCAAGUCAUUCCUAGCCUGAUCGGCUAUGUCAUUAUCACGCUAAAUUUUAACUGUGCUACCUGGUUCUUCUUCCCGGAGCACAAUUUUCGACGAUGAGCUAAGCUUACGUCAAUCUUCCUCUUCAUAUCAUUUCACCUUGAACAACAAGCUUGAUUUCAAGUUUGUGUUGUACCCGUGGAUCCAAUAACCUUUCAGUUCAUCAUUCCUUUGACUUGAUGUCAUCGUCGAUCGAUUACAUCUUCAUGAAAUCUCUCGACAAAUGUGUCGUGAUCGUCAUCAACAUUCUGAACUCUUCAAGGAUAUUAAUUAAAUUCAUGAUGAGAAAUACCAUCCUUGCCCCUCGAUGAUUUGUGUUAUCAUCGACAACAUUUUUGCCUUCCCCACAACACAAACUUGUUCGUAUAAUUUUGGAAUUACAUCCUUUUUGACAUGUCGAUGGAUUGCAGUUGAACCCAUCGGCCGCAUCCUCAUCUUUUUCCUAAAAAAAUUGCAUGAGAUGUUCUAGAAAUUCUCGAUGGAUCCUUUGUGUUCCCAAGGUCCGAUGUUUACCUGAUGACCAUGUCAACACUAUCCCUAAGCAUGUGUGUGGUACUCCGAUCAUCAACAAGAACAUUGGGAGCGCAAUGCUAACUGUUCUUGAUCAAUAAUCCAAACACCGUUGUAUGGAUAAACCUCAUAAAUUCCUAUCAUGCUCUGCCUUUCCUUGGGAAAGUUAUACUCCAAUACUUGGGUAUAAACACAUUUCCUUUCCGUUAGUCUGAUUAUCAUAAAAAUCACAUUUUCCCUUUCCAUUGGUUUGUUUAAUCUUUCCUGUGAUCUAUAGGAUAUAACCAAAAAUAAUUCCCUGCUUUUAAAACACCCCGGAGUACAAUCUUGUCUGUGAGAUCCCAUUACCAUCGUUGAUGACAUUUUGGUAACCACCGAUGGACGAGAACUAUGCCUAUUGGUCCGCCUCGUUCAACGAGUAGGAAAAUAGUUCUCUUCGUCCCUCGCCCUUGGUACCAACGUUGUUGGCAACAUACCUGACAAUCUAUCACCUGACAUGCCUUGCUAUCGGCCCCCUUUCUACUUUUAACCCACAUGGUGGGCCCAUAACCCACAGUUCCACAGGAUCGAAACCUUACUUUCAUGUACAACCUUGAUUCCGAGACAUUCUUUGCACUUGGCUUCGUAUGUAAUUCGCGAGCCAACUUCCUCUCCAUGUUUCAUUCUGGUAUCAGAGGCAACAUUAUCCUUCAUUGCUCUGAACCCCAUCAUCACUUGUUUUAGGCAUCCGCUGGAUGCCUACCUGGUUGAAACUUGUUGAACCUCCUUAUAGCACUCUCGAUACAUUUCUUGGUGCUUCUAAAAUCUCCUUCCUAGAGAUAACUAUCGGAUGCCGAUCCUUUCAGACAUCCGUUCUUAUAGCUUCCCUCUUAUUUCACUCCUUAAAUCUCGGGACGAGAUUUCUUAUAGUGGAGGAGAAUAGUGACGCCCAGAUAAUUAAGCUAUAGUAAUCCUCCAUUAAUGGUGCCACAUCAUCACAUUACUGUUGCUAAUCCUCACUUGAUCCAAAUCACUGUUCAUAUUCAAACUCAAAUUUAAAGUCAAAAUUCAAAUUUGCCAAACAUGAAAACUAAAAUGUUCAAAGUGUGGCAAAUAAUCCAUGGGUAUUUUUCAUGAUUGGAACCAGCCUCUUUUGGAUUCUGAAAGUCCCCCUGGAAAUUAUUUAGUGGUCCGACAUCAUAUUAAAUGACCUUUUCAAUCUCUAAAAAUGCUUGCACAAUUCCUUCGGCCCUGAAACUUUUUAGGCAACACCACAAUAUUGUGCUUGAACUAUUAGCUAAGUUUCACACUCGACAAAAAUCAUUUGAUGCCUUGUUUCUAUCCAAAAUAGUAGCUAUCCUUUUGACAGAAAAUAAAAGAAAUAAAAUUACAGAAAAGGAACCCCCCCUUGCCCCACCGGGCCUCAACCCCGCCAGCCCACUCGCCCCCCCACAGGUCGGCCCACCCCUUUGCCUCCUUAUCCCCUCACACUCUAGUAACGCUAGCCUGCUACACCCCACUCCCCCCCGAUCCACCUCUCCCUCUCGCUCUCUCGAUUUGGAUCAAGAGAUCCUCCUCGCCUCUGCACGAUGCCCCUCGUCUCUACCCCGGCGGUGCCGACGCCGUUCGACCCCGCUGGACCCCGCUGAAUGCCUCCCCACUCUUGCCACCACCCCAGCGCCCCUCGCCGAGGCCACCUCGCCGUCCUUGUCCUCCUCCCCGUUCCUGGAUCUGGAAGGACCCCCGAAGCCGCCACCCACCGCCUCGACGCCCCAUCGCCGGAAGCGCAACUCCGGCCCCUCCCCGAGCAUGCCAUUGCACAUCUACACUGCCAGUGAGCCCUCCCGUCUAUUUCCCCUCGAACCCUCAGCUCGUCGUCAUGUUCACGUGACUGCGUCCGAGCGCCGCGCUCCUCACGCCCCGGCAGCGCCCUGACCUCCCCUGUGAGCUCUCGCGGCUGCUCCCCCUCUACCCCUCCUCGAUUCACCUGCUUAUGCUGUCAUCCGCGCCGCCCGUUCUUCUGACCGAAGCCGUAGUUGCCAUGCGCCUCCUCGCGGUCGUCGCGGCCGUUGACGCGCCCCCACGCGCUCGUGGCCCCGCUUGUCCGUGCACCGGCUACGCUAGGGCUGCGCCCCGUGCGUGUGCCCGCCCCACCGGCGAUGCUGCCUGCUGCUGGCGCACGCGGCUGCCACUACAACUGCUGCUCCUCUUCUAUGGCUGCCACUGCUAGCCACGACUGUCACCAGCGCUCGCCGCCGUUGGCCGCCGCUAGUCCUGGCCGCCGGUGCCCGGUGCCCGUGUGUGCUCUGCCAGAGAAGUUAGGCUGGCCCUAUGACAUGUGGGGCCGGCCGACCAGUUAUUUUAACUUAGGCCUAAACCCCCACCAACCAUAUUAGUUAGGCCAAUAUGACUACGAUUUAAAAUGUUAAACUGUCCCUGACAUAUGGACCCCACCACAUAAUUAACCCUCUGUCUAAAAUAAUCCACUAGUUAAAACUACUGACUAUGACAUGUGGACCCAACACACUUUUUUUGGAUAAGGUUGACUGGGUCAGCUGUUGACUCAGGAGUGUGGCCCCACUGUCAGCCACACUUUCACAUCUCUAGGUACACUCUAUGUGUACCCAUAGCAAUUACACUUAAUAUAUUUCCGAAUUAAAAUAAAUCUUGUAAUUUUCAGAAAAUUAUUUAAACCUUGGAAAAUUGUUAUAAAAUAAACCAUAGGUCAGAUGAAAACGUUUUAUACAUGAAAGUUGCUCAGAAAAGUCCAACGAAUCUGGAUACACGGUCCGUUUACUUGUCAGAUGCCUCUAACUAUCUGAACAUGGAACAUUCGCCCUCCGGUCAUCUGUUUGACAUAGGUCUAGAACCGGGAAAACAUUCCCGGUUGAAUUCCCCGUUCACCUAUAUCAUGUAGCCAUAUGUUAGGUCACACCCGACACAUCAUAUUGCCAUGUUAUGCUUUGUGAUGCUAUGUUUGGUUUAUAUAUAUUGUUUCUUCCCCCUCUUCUCAUCGGUAGACCCCGAGACCGAUACUGCCCCUGUGAUCGACUAUGUCGACGACGACACUUCUUCCUUUUCAAGAGAGCUUCCAGGCAAGCCCCCCCCCCCUUUGAUCAUCCCAAUAUCGCCCAUUCCAUUCUCUCAUGCUUGCGUUCAAUUUUGCUACUAUUAUUGAUUGCUCCUAUUCUGAUGCAUAGCCUGCUUUUGUAACCUGCUUAUUGUUACCUUACCUGCUUAUCCUAAACUGCUUAGUAUAGGUUGGUUAGUGAUCCAUUAGUGACCCCCCACAUUGUCCUUGUGACCCCUGCUUCAUCAUCAAAGACCCGAUCAACAGGAUCGAAGACCAGGCCCCGGCACCGCACAUCACUUCCCCUUAGUUGCUCGACACUACUGGGUUACUAUUGAGUGUCGAGGGUGAGCACUCAUCAGCACUUCUGAUGUUAACCUGGUAGUGUAGUUAUUCGGUCGUGGUCAUCGAGGGUGAUUACGCCUUAACCACUUUCGAUACGACUCUGUCGUGCAACCCCUCAAGUGUGAACCUCGAGGGUGGAUCCUCUUACGUUCACCAUGAUGAUUACAUCGAGUGGAAUCCGUCGAGGGUGAGUCCUCAGGUUUUCCCCUUGGUGUUAGACACACGGUUACUAUGGUUAGUAUGACUUUACACUGAACCAUGUUACUAAAGACGGGUCGACCCUAAGGGGUACCCGCGCGAGCUUAAUUGCGAGUGAUGUGGAGUCGGGUUGACCUGGAAGGUGCCCGUGAGAUAAUUACGAGGCAUGGCUGGGUAUUCUUAGCCCUUGUCGCAAGUCCUCGAGACGGGGCGACGGGGUCACAUCUUUCGUGAGUCUCUGCUUGUUACCACGCGUUCGUAAUCCACUACGAUUUGGAUAUUUGAUCCAAGAGGCCUUUGGCCUGAUAGCACUAACCAUCAUGUGGUCAUAGUAUGGGCGUUCUGCGUCGUAUGCAUCAGCCGAAGCUUAAUAGACGUCAGCGAUUGAGCGGCGCGCGUCGGGUUGGACUGCGUAAGCACCUGCCUUUUUAAGGAGGUAGCUAGGUUUGCUCACCGGCCGCGUUCGCAACGUUCAGAAGUUCCCGAGGCGAUGGCCCAUGACCCAUGGGGGCAUAGGUUUAGUCCGGCAUGUUGACUUCUCUAUUAAGCCUAGGUCGGGUUGCAGCGUAUUGUUUGGCCGAGGCCGGGCAUGACCCAGGAAAGUGUGUCCGGACGGAGUUAAUCGAGCGUGAUGGGUAAGUUGGUGCACCCCUGCAGGAAAGAAAACGUCUAUCAAUAGCCUGUCCUAUGGUAACGGACAGCUGGAGUUGUAUCCCGGUCGAUACAACUAGAAAUGGAUACUGUGAUGAGAAAUGGAUUGUGAUGAGAAAUGGAUAAUAUGGCUCUGGGAUUGCUUUCUCGCAGGGAGUCGGGAAAGGAUCUCUGGCCGAGGUUGAUAACACUACUGCUACUUUACUUUAUGCUACUCUUAUCUCUUUUGAUGCUGCAAGAUGCUUGGAGCUGCUUGAAGAUGCUAGUCUUCGAUAGGCUAGGCUUUCCCCUUCUCUUCUGACAUUCUGCAGUUCAGUCCACAUAUACAGCCCAUUUCAUUGAUACCGAUGCAUAUGUAGUGUAGAUCCUUGCUUGCGAGUACUUUAUAUGAGUACUCAUGGUUGCUUUGCUCCCCUUUUUCCACCUCUUUCCAUUCUCUCGGAUGAUGCAACAAGAUGGUGGAGCCCAGGAUCCAGAAGCCACCGCCGACGACUACUACUACCCCGAGGGUGCCUACUACCACAUGACGGACGCUGAUGACCAGGAGUAGUUAGGAGGCUCCCAGGCAGGAGGCCUUGCCUUUUCGAUCGAUGUUGCUUUUUGUGCUAGCCCUCUUAAGGCAGACUUGUUUGAGUUAUGUCUGUACUCAGAUAUUGUUGCUUCCGCUGGCUCGUUUGUAUUCGAGCUUAUGUAUUCGAGCCCUCGAGGCCCCCGACUUGUAAUAUAAGGCUUGUAUUAUUUUAAUUUGUGUCUAGAGUUGUGUUGUGAUAUCUUCCCGUGAGUCCCUGAUCUUGAUCGUACACAUUUCUGUGUAUGGUUAGUGUACGAUUGAAUCGGGGGCGUCACAAGUUGGUAUCAGAGCCGACUGCCUGUAGGUAGCCCCUUUCCAACUCCUUGGCCAAAGUUGAGUCUAGUCAUCCAAAACUAUUUUACUAACUUGGCUGUGUGGCUUACGGGCCCACGUCGCCGAUGGGUGGUACUAGGAUCUUUUAUUCCUCGUCUAUAAUCUGGGAUUCUGAUCUCUCUUCUAUUUGGGUUAAACAUUUUACUAACUUUGACAUUAGGUUCUCGUACCCACUUCCUCCCAGAGAGCCCCGACAUUACCGAUGAUCGCUUGCUUCGCCAGAAGAUUCUGCAGAUACUCCUCGAUGUUUCUUGAGACCCUGUGCCCACUUUCUUGAAGUUCCUAACCACAGAUAAUCCUCGUGAAUAACAUCCUUGCCACUUGUACCUUCUUACCCAGUUGCUCCUAUUAUUACAAGAUGUACUCUUCAUUGUUUCGAGAAUCCUUUGUGCCUUCUGCUUCGCAGCUUCUUUUCACACUGCGGAUAAUUCACUUAACCGGGGUUCGUUCGUCCCCAGUUGUUCUUAUGCUUUCCAAAAUACCUGAAAAUGCUAAUCUGAUCUUUCAAAAUCCUCUACAGCCCAUUACUCUUGAUUCUCCUUGCCUGCUUGCAUUGGGAUUAAUUCCAUAUGUCUAGCAAUAUUCUUUAAAAUUCUUGGUGAUUGUCAUUUUGUUCCUAUGGAUUCUAUGUGUGUACGAAUACUCGCAAUCAUCAAUUGAUCAUUAGAAAUUUUAUUUCCGGCUCGGACAUCGUUCCAAAUAUAAGCUGGUUCUUGCCCAAUCAAGAUUCGAUCGGUGUGCCUCUAAGUCUGUUCAAUCCAUCUAGCUUUGAUCAGAGCAUCUGAUUCUGAUACACUGAUCUAGAAAUCAAAAUUUUCUUUGUAUCUAAGCAUCGAAUUAUUCAGUUGUUUCUACAAUCCGAUGCCUUUGCAUUCUUCUUCUUCUGGUGGAGUACCGAUGCUCACACCAGAUCCUUUGUGGACCGUCAGAUCCUUUGUUGGAUUAUUAUCCGACUGCCGCUCAAAUUCAAUCACCUUGUGAGUUCUUCCCUGAUACAUAAUGCCUUUGGUAAAUUGUAUCCUCUCCUUCUGUCAACCAUGCUCUACCUUCGAGCUUGUGUUAUUUACUCUUUAUGUUUGUUAUAUAUGUUCCUAAGAUGCCCCUAUGGGUUGAACCUAUGCCUUCCCUAAUCCGUGCGAACCCGAGAGUCUUCACAAGUUAUACCCUUCUGGUGUUUUGCCAGAUGUAAUUUCAACACUACAACAUCAUCAAAAGCGAGAAGUGAAUGGAAGGUUAUGCAUUAAAGAAGUGGGAGUCGACCUCGAACUUUGUGUUCAUGCCCAUGGUCCCGAUGUAGAGCUUAUCAUGGAAGCUGCUCGUAAAAAUAAUAAUCCCUUGUUAUAAAUUCAGCUCGUAUUUUGCUCUGAUCCUUUGCAAUCGUGGUUCCAACCAUGAUUGUUCUUCUUUGAUCUCAUUUCGCGGACAAGCUAAAGCACUUGUCUUCUGUAAAUCGAUAUAAUUGUCCAACCUCUAUACUGAACUACCUCGAGCAUUACCCCCCCUACUAUCUCAAGAAUAUCAAAGAACUAUGUUGCUUACUAUGAGUCUUCAUCUAGUAUUGCUUCUCAUUGAUUUUAGAUUUCCCUCGGGUUCUGAGUUAUUAGUCACUCGAGAACGCCGGUAAGUGAAUUGAUUCCACACUUCGAUUCUAUAACUCUAAGUAAUUUUUGUUGCGUACGAGUUUAAUAAUCCUUCAAGUCAUUCCUAGCUUGAUCGGCUAUGUCAUUAUCAUGCUAAAUUUUAACCGUGCUACCUGGUUCUUCCCGCUUGAUUUAUUUUUACAGAGGCAACAUGUCACCUCUAUGUGAGAAAGGACAUACGCUGCCUCUUUGUUGGAAAACGUUGCAGAAAAUUAAAAAUUUCUACGCUUCACCAAGAUCAAUCUAUGGAGUCAUCUAGCAACGAGAUAGAGGAGUGCAUCUACACACCCUUGUAGAUCGCGCAGAAGCGUUCAAGAGAACGGGGUUGAGGGAGUCGUACGUGUCGUGAUCCAAAUCACCGAUGAUCCUAGUGCCGAACGGACGGCACCUCCGCGUUCAACACACGUACGGUUGAGGAACACGUAUCCUCCUUCUUGAUCCAGCAAGGGGAGGGAGAGGUUGAUGGAGAUCCAGCAGCACGACGGCGUGGUGGUGGAAGCAGCAGCGAUCUCGGCAGGGCUUCGCCAAGCUCUACGAGAGGGAGAGGUGUUGCAGAGGGAGAGGGAGGCGCCAGAGACUUGGGUUCGGCUUCCCUCCCUCCCUCUCUUUAUAUAGGGGCCAGGGGGGUGCCGGCCCCCUGGAGAUUGGAUAUCAAGGGGGGCGGCGGCCAAGGGGGUGGCUUGCCCCCCAAGCCAAGUGGGAGGCGCCCCCACCCCUAGGGUUUCCAACCCUAGGCGCAGGGGGGCCUAGGGGGGGGGGCGCACCAGCCCACCAGGGGCUGGUUCCCCUCCCACUUCAGCCCAUGGGGCCCUCCGGGAUAGGUGGCCCCACCCGGUGGACCCCCGGGACCCUUUCGGUGGUCCCGGUACAAUACCGCUGACCCCGGAAACAUUCCCAAUGGCCGAAACUGGACUUCCCAUAUAUAAUUCUUCACCUCCGGACCAUUCCGGAACUCCUCGUGACGUCCGGGAUCUCAUCCGGGACUCCGAACAACUUUUGGAUUAUCGCAUGCUAGUAUCUCUACAACCCUAGCGUCACCGAACCUUAAGUGUGUCGACCCUACGGGUUCGGGAGACAUGCAGACAUGACCGAGACGACUAUCUGGCCAAUAACCAACAGCGGGAUCUGGAUACCCAUGUUGGCACCCACAUGCUCCUCGAUGAUCUCAUCGGAUGAACCACGAUGUCAAGGAUUUCAAGUAAUCCCGUAUACAAUUCCCUUUGUCAAUUGGCACGUUACUUGCCCGAGAUUCGAUCAUCGGUAUGCCAAUACCUCGUUCAAUAUCGUUACCGGCAAGUCACUUUACUCGUACCAUAAUGCAUGAUCCCGUGACUAACCACUUAGUCACUUUGAGCUCAUUAUGAUGAUGCAUUACCGAGUCGGCCCAGAGAUACCUCUUCGUCAUACGGAGUGACAAAUCACAGUCUCGAUCCGUGUCAACCCAACAGACACUUUCGGAGAUACCUGUAGUAUACCUUUAUAGUCACCCAGUUAUGUUGUGACGUUUGGUACACCCAAAGCACUCCUACUGCAUCCGGGAGUUACACUAUCUCAUGGUCUAAGGAAAUGAUACUUGACAUUGGAAAAGCUCUAGCAAACGAACUACACGAUCUUGUGAUAUGCUUAGGAUUGGGUCUUGUCCAUCACAUCAUUCUCCCAAUGAUGUGAUCCCAUUAUCAAUGACAUCCAAUGUCCAUGGUCAGGAAACCGCGACUAUCUAUUGAUAAACGAGCUACUCAACUAGAGGCUCACUAGGGACAUGUUGUGGUCUAUGUAUUCACACAUGUAUUAUGAUUUCCGGAUAACACAAUUAUAGCAUGAAUAAAAGACAAUUAUCAUGAACGAGGAAAUAUAAUAAUAACCAUUUUAUUAUUGCCUCUAGGGCAUAUUUCCAACACUCUUCCCGCGUUGAUUUAUUUUUACAGAGGCAACAUGCAAUUGUAGGAUUGUCAUGUUCAAAUUUGCAAUUAUUCAGGGUUCAUUCGACCUUUUAUACAUUAUUUUCGUUUCUAGGCAUUUAACGUGUGUAAUUCAAAUUUGAACUAUAGGCACAUGGCCUAGUGCACCAAACUGGAUUAAAAAAUCAUAUAUGUGUGCUUGGGUGAAUGUUUAGGUCCCAUGCAAGAAAUGGGAAUGAAUUUCAAACAUCUGGGCGUCAUGGCUCGGCCUUAAACAUUGAAAAACUUGGUUCUAAAAUUCCUGUAAAUCCAAAGUUUGCUUGAAAAUUAUGAAACUUGGCAUGCUGUUAUGACAUGGCACCAACAUGAUGUGGUAAAAAAAUUGUCCGGUUAGGGACAAGUUUUGGUAUAAACUUCUCACAAACCGGAGUUUCUAUCAAAAAGCCUCAUGGUUCUAAAAGGGAACGUGUCACCUCUGUGUGCGAAACAACAUACACUACCUCUUCACAGCUUGAUUUACUUAACAGAAGCAACAUACAACCAUAGGAGUGUGAUGUUAAAAUUGGGAAUUAUUCAGGGGUCGUCCGACCUUUUUACACAUUAUUUGAGUUUCUAGGCAUUUAAUGUGCAUAACUCAAAUUUGAACUACAUGCACAUGUCCUAGUGCACCAUACCGGGUUGAAAAAUCUUAUACGUAUCGUUGGGUAUAUGUUUAGGUGCCAUGCAAGAAAUGGGAAUGUAUUAAUAACAUCUCGGUGGCGUGGCUUGGCCAUAAAUAUUGAGAAAAUUGGUUUUGAAAUACCUGUAAAUCCAAUACUCACCUGAAAAUCAUGAAACUUGGCAUGGUGUUAUGACUUGGCACAGACAAGUUGUGGUCAUCAAUUUGGGACAAGUUUUGGUAUAAACUUCUCACAAACUGGAGUUUCUCUCAAAAAGCCUCAUGGUUCUGAGACGAAACGUGUCCCCUCUUUGUGUUAAACGACAUAUGUUGCCUCUUCCCACCUUGAUUUAUUUUAUGGUUGCAACAUGCAACCGUAGGAGUCGUGAAAAUUUGGAAUUAUUCAGGGUCAUUUGGGCUUUUAUACAUUAUUUGAGUUUCUAGGCAUUUAAUAUGCAUAAUUCAAAUUUGAAUUAAAGGCCCACGCCCCAGUGCACCAAACCGGGUUGAAAAUCAUAUACGUGUCCUUGGGUGAUGAUACGUCUCCAACGUAUCUAUAAUUUUUGAUUGUUCCAUGCUAUUAUAUUACCUCUUUUGGAUGUUUAUGGACUUUAUUUUACACAUUUAUAUCAUUUUUGGGACUAACCUACUAACCGGAGGCCCAGCCCAUAUUGCUGUUUUUUGCCUAUUUCAGUAUUUCGAAAAAAAGGAAUAUCAAACGGAGUCCAAACAGAAUGAAACCUUCGGGAGCGUUAUUUUUGGAACAAAUCUGAUCCGGAGAGCCUGGAGUGCAAGUCAAGAAAGCUCCGAGGGCCCCACGAGAUAGGAGCCCCCCUGUAGGGCGCGCCCCCUGUCUCGUGGGCCCCUCGGGUGUCCACCGACGUACUUCUUCCUCCUAUAUAUGUCUACGUACCCCGAAAACAUCCAGGAGCACCACGGAACACAAUUUCCACCGCCGUAACCUUCUGUAUCCGCGAGAUCCCAUCUUGGAGCCCUUGCCGGCACUGUGCCGGAGGGGGAAGCAACCAUGGAGGGCCUCUACAUCAACAUGCUUGCCCCUCCGAUGAGUUGUGAGUAGUUUACCACAGACCUACGGGUCCAUAGUUAUUAGCUAGAUGGCUUCUUCUCUCUUUUUGAAUCUCAAUACAAUGUUCUCCCCCUCUCUUGUGGAGAUCUAUUCAAUUAAUCUCUUUUUGCGGUGUGUUUGUCGAGAUCCGAUGAAUUGUGGGUUUAUGAUCAAGUUUAUCUAUGAAUAAUAUUUGAAUCUUCUCUGAAUUCUUUUAUGUAUGAUUGAGUUAUCUUUGCAAGUCUCUUCGAAUUAUUAGUUUCGUUUAGCCUACUAGAUUGAUCUUUCUUGCCAUGGGAGAAGUGCUUAGCUUUGGGUUCAAUCUUGCGGUGUUCUUACCCAGUGACAGAAAGGGUUGCAAGACACGUAUUGUAUUGUUGCCAUCGAGGAUAACAAGAUGGGGUUUAUAUCAUAUUGCAUGUGUUUAUCCCUCUACAUCAUGUCAUCUUGCUUAAUGCUUUGCUCUGUUCUUAUGAACUUAAUACUCUAGAUGCAUGCUGGAUAGCGGUCGAUGUGUGGAGUAAUAGUAGUAGAUGCAGGUAGGAGUCGGUCUACUUGUUAUGGACGUGAUGCCUAUAUACAUGAUCAUGCCUAGAUAAUCUCAUAACUAUGCGCUUUUCUAUCAAUUGCUCGACAGUAAUUUGUUCACCCACCGUAAUAUUUAUGCUAUCUUGAGAGAAGCCUCUAGUGAAACCUAUGCCCCCCGGGUCUAUCUUUUAUCAUAUUUGCUUUCAAUCUACUUUAUUUGCAUCUUUAAUUUUUGCAUCUAUCUUAUAAAAUACCAAAAAUAUAUUUAUCUUAUCAUACUAUCUUUAUUAGAUCUCACUUUUGCAAGUGGCCGUGAAGGGAUUGACAACCCCUUUUUGCGUUGGUUGCGAGUUCUCAGUUUGUUUGUGUAGGUGCGUGGGACUUUUGAGGAGCCUCCUACUGGAUUGAUACCUUGGUUCUCAAAAUUGAAGGAAAUACUUACACUACACUUUGCUGCAUCACCCUCUCCUCUUCGAGGAAAACCAACGCAAGCUCAAGACGUAGCAAGAAGGAUUUCUGGCGCCGUUGCUGGGGAGGUCUUCGCCCAAGUCAAGACAUACCAAGUACCCAUCACAAACCCAUCUCCCUCGCAUUUACAUUAUUUGCCAUUUGCCUGUCGUUUUCCUCUGCCCACACUUCACCCUUGCCGUUUUAUUCGCCCUCUCUUUCCCAAUCUGCUCCUCUCUCUUUCGCUUGCCGUUUUUCUGUUUGCUUGUGUGUUGGAUUACUUGUUGCCAUGGCACAAGAUAAUACCAAGUUGUAUGACUUCUUGAAUACCAAUAAUAAUGAUUUCCUUAGUACUCCCAUUGUUCCUCUUAAUGAUGUUGAGUCUUGUGAAAUCAAUAACGCUUUGUUGAAUCUUGUUAUGAAAGAUCAAUUCGCCGGCCUUCCUAGUGAAGAUGCCGCUACUCAUCUAAACAAUUUUGUUGAUUUGUGUGAUAUGCAAAAGAAGAAAGAUACGGAUAACAAUAUUGUCAAAUUGAUGUUAUUCCCGUUUUCACUUAGAGAUCAUGCUAAAGUUUGGUUUUCGUCUUUGCCUAAAAAUAGUAUUGAUUCUUGGAACAAGUGCAAAGAUGCUUUUAUCUCUAAAUAUUUUCCUCCCGCUAAGAUCAUCACUCUUAGGAACGAUAUUAUGAAUUUUAAACAAAUUGAUCAUGAGCAUGUUGCCCAAUCUUGGGAAAGAAUGAAUUUGAUGCUUCGCAAUUUCCCUACUCAUGGUUUGAAUUUAUGGAUGAUCAUACAAAUUUUUUAUGCCGGUUUGAACUUUGCUUCUAGAAAUCUCUUAGAUUCGGCCGCGGGAGGCACCUUUAUAGAAAUCACGUUAGGAGAUGCUACAAAAUUGUUUGAUAAUAUUAUGGCUAAUUAUUGUCAAUGGCACACCGAAAGAUCUUCUAGUAAAAAGGUGCAUGCUAUAGAAGAAAUCAAUGUUUUGAGUGGAAAGAUGGAUGAACUUAUGAAGAUGUUUGUUACUAAAAAUACUCCUCCUCAUCCCAAUGAUAUGCCUUUGUCUUCCUUGAUUGAUAAUAAUAAUGAAUCUAUGGAUGUGAAUUUUGUUGGUAGGAAUAGUUUUGGAAACAAUGCUUAUAGAGGAGAUUUUAAUGCUAGACCAUUCCCUAGUAAUACCCUCUAAUAAUUAUGGAAAUUCCUACAAUAAUUCUUAUGGUAAUUUUAAUAAGAUGCCCUCUGACUUUGAGAAUGGUGUGAAAGAAUUUAUGAUUUCUCAAAAGAAUUUUAAUGGCUUGCUUGAAGAAAAAUUGCUCAAAGUUGAUGAUUUGGCUAGGAACGUUGAUAGACUUUCGCUUGAUGUUAAUUCUCUUAAACUUGGAUCUUCUUCUCCUAAGCAUGAUAUCAAUGAGUCUCUCAAAGUAAUGAGAAUUUCCACCAACAAGUGCAAGGAAAGAACCGCUAGAUUGCAUGCUAAAAAGGAAAGCUUUAUAAAAGCGUGUUCUUCUAGUUUUCAUGAAAAUAAUGAUGAGGAUCUUAAAGUUAUUGAUACUUCUCCGAUUAGAUCUAUGUUUUGCAAUAUGAAUUUUGAUGAUUAUGGGAGUGAUGAUGAAUCAACUUUGCCUAGAAGGCGUCCCAAAAAUUUGGAGUCUUUAGAUCUUGAUGCUAAAAUUGGUAAAAGUGAGAUUGGAGAAUCCUCUAUUUCGAAUAAUAUUGAACUUACUAUCUUGGAUUUCAAGGAAUUUGAUUACGAUAAUUGCUCUUUAAAAGGGUGUAUUUCCUUGUUGCAAUCCGUUGUUAAUUCUCCUCAUGCUUAUAGUCAAAACAAAGCUUUUACCAAACAUAUUGUUGAUGCCUUGAUGCAAUCUUAUGAUGAAAAACUUAAUUUGGAAGUUUCUAUACCUAGAAAACUUAAUGAUGAGUGGGAACCUACUAUAAAGAUUAGAAUUAAAUAUUUUGAGUGUUUUGCUUUGUGUGAUUUGGGUGCUAGUCUUUCCACGAUUCCAAAAACUUUAUGUGAUAUCCUAGGUUUCCAUGAUCUUGAUGAUUGCUCUUUAAAUUUGCACCUUGCGGAUUCCACCAUUAAAAAGCCUAUGGGAAGGAUCAAUGAUGUUCUUAUUAUUGCAAAUAGAAAUUUGGUGCCCAUAGAUUUUAUCGUUCUUGAUAUAGAUUGCAAUCUUUCUUGCCCUAUUAUUCUUGGUAGACCUUUCCUUAGAACGAUUGGUGCGAUUAUUGAUAUGAAGGAAGGGAACAUUAGAUUCCAAUUUCCAUUAAAGAAAGGCAUGGAGCACUUUCCAAGAAAGAAAGACAAAUUACCUUAUGAAUCUAUCAUGUGUGCUACUUAUGAACCUAGUGCCAAAGAUGGCACUCGUUAGAUCUAUCUUUGUUUUUAUGCCUGGCUAGGGGCGUUAAACGAUAGCGCUAGUUGGGAGGCAACCCAAUUUUUCUUUAUGUUUUUUGUUUUUGCUCCUGUUUAGUAAUAAAUCUUGCAUCUACCUUCUGGUUAGAUGUGUUUUUAUCUUUUAAUUAGUGUUUGUGCCAAGUAGAACCUAUAGGAUAACCUACGAUGAUAGUUGAUUUGAUUCUGCUGAAAAACAGAAACUUUGCGCGCACAAAUAUAAUUUUGUUAAUUCACAGGAACGUGUUUUUGCAUUGAUUCUUUUUUCUGAUGUUCAAUAGACAAAUUGUCCAGGACUUCCUAUUUUGGUAGGAAUUUUAGAGUUCCAUAAGUCUAUGUUAGUUACAGAUUGCUACAGACUGUUCUGUUUUUGACAGAUUCUGUUUUUCGUGUGUUGUUUGCUUAUUUCAAUGCAUCUAUUGUUAGUAGAUUAGUUUAUAAACCAUAAAGAAGUUGGAAUACAGUAGUUUUAACACCAAUAUAAAUAAAGAAUGAGUUCAUUGCAGUACCUUAUGUGGUGGUUUUGUUUUCUUUCACUAACGGAGCUUAUAAGAUUUCCUGUUGAGUUUUGUGUUGUGAAGUUUUCAAGUUUUGGGUAAAGCUUUUAUGGACUAUGGAAUAAGGAGUGGCAAGAGCCUAAGCUUGGGGAUGCCCAUGUCACCCCAAGAUAUUAAAGAAUAGCCAAAAGCCUAAGCUUGGGGAUGCCCCGGGAAGGCAUCCCCUCUUUCGUCUUCGUUCAUUGGUAACUUUACUUGGAGCUAUAUUUUUAUUCGCUACAUGAUAUGUGUUUUGCUUGGAGCGUCCUGUAUUAUAUUAGUCUUUGCUUUUUAGUUUACCACAAUCAUCCUUGCUGUACACACCUUUUGGAGAAGCCUAUUUGAUUAGAAUUUGCUAGAAUACUCUAUGUGCUUCACUUAUAUCUUUUGAGCUUGAUAGUUUUUGCUCUAGUGCUUCACUUAUAUCUUUUAGAGCAUGGUGGUGUCUGAAUUUUGAAGAAAUUGCUAGUCUCUCAUGAUUCACUUAUAUUAUUUUGAGAGUCUUUUAGAACAGCAUGGUAUUUGCUAUGAUCAUAAAGUUGGUCCUAGAAUGAUGAGCAUCCAAGUUGGGUAUAAUAAAAACUAUCAUAGAAAGUGAAUUGGAUGCUAUGAUCAAUUUGAUGCUUGAUAAUUGUUUUGAGAUAUGGAGGUAGUGAUAUUAAAGUCAUGCUAGUUGGGUGAUUAUGAAUUUAAAGAAUGCUUGUGUUGAAGCUUGUGAUUCCCGUAGCAUGCACGUAUGGUGAACCGCUUUGUGAUGAAGUUGGAGCAUAAUUUUAUUUAUUGAUUCUCUUCCUUAUGAGUGGCGGUCGGGGACGAGCGAUGGUCUUUUCCUACCAAUCUAUCCCCCAAGGAGCAUGCGCGUAGUACUUUGGUUUUUGAUGACUUCUAAAUUUUUGCAACAAGUAUAUGAGUUCCUUUGAUUAAUGUUGAGUCCAUGGAUUAUAUGCACUCUUUCACCCUUCCACUAUUGCUAGCCUCUCUUGUACCGCGCAAUUUUUGCCGGUACCAUACACCCACCAUUUACCUUCCUCAAAACAGCCACCAUACCUACGUAUUAUGGCAUUUCCAUAGCCAUUCCGAGAUAUGUUGCCAUGCAACUUUCCACCGUUCCGUUCAUAUGACACACAUUACUUUUGUCAUAUUGCUUUUUGCAUGAUCAUGUAGUUGACAUUGUAUUUGUGGCAAGGCCACCUUCAUAAUUUUCAUACAUGUCGCUCUUGAUUCAUUGCAUAUCCCGGUACACCGCCGGAGGCAUUCAUAUAGAGUCAUAUCUUGUUCUAGUUUUGAGUUGUAAAUCCAUAAAAGUGUGAUGAUCUUCAUUAUUAGAGCAUUGUCCUAGUGAGGAAAGGAUGAUGAAGACAAUGAUUCCCCCACAAGUCGGGAUGAGACUUCGGACUUUACAAAAA